rnacentral:lncRNA from 1 species
GUUCUGGAGCUACGCAGUUGGUCUUGUUGGAAAUAUUCCGUAGAGGCAAUAAUGAAAUAGUUAUUAUUAUAUUUCCUAUUUCAAGAUAAUCGUUUAUUAUCCAUGCUAUAAUUGUAUUGAAUGGAAACACAAGUGCGUGUGUGGAUACAUAGACAAAACAAUGUCCCUAGUGAGUCUCUAGUUGACUAGCUCGUUGAUCAAACAUGGUUAAGGUUUCCUAGCCAUGGACAAGUAUUGCCAGUUGAUGACGGGAUCACAUCAUUAGGAGAAUUAUAUGAUGUACAAGACCCAAACUAUAACCGUAGCAUGUGAUCGUGUCAUUUUGUUGCUAUUGUUUUUCUGCAUGUCAAGUAUAUGUUCCUAUGACCAUGAGAUCAUCUAACCCACUGACACCGGAGGAAUUCCUUGUAUGUAUCAAACAUCGCAACGUAACUGGGUGAUUAUACAGGUGUUCUACAGGUAUCUCCGAUCGUGUCCGUUGAGUUAGUAUGGAUCGAGACUGGGAUUUGUCACUCCGUAUGACGGAUAGGUAUCUCGGGGCCCACUGGGUAAUAGAACAUCACAAACAUGCCUUGCAAGCAAUGUGACUAAAGAGUUAUCCACGGGAUCUUGUAUUACAUAACGAGUAAAGAGGCUUACCGGUAACGAGAUUGAAAUAGGUAUGGAGAUACCGACGAUCGAAUCUCGGGCAAGUAACAUACCGAAGGACAAAGGGAAUGAUACACGCGAUUAACUGGAUCCUUGACAUAGAGGUUCAACCGAUAAGAUCUUCAUAGAAUAUGUAGUAUCCAAUAUGGGCAUCCAGGUCCCGCUAUGGUAUAUUGAACAGAGAGUGUCUCGGUCAUGUCUACAUAGUUCUCGAACCCGCAGGGUCUGCACACUUAAGGUCCGGUGACGUUUUGGUAUAGUUGAAUUAUUGAUAUUGGUAACCGAAUGUUGUUCGGAGUCCCAGAUGAGAUCCCGGACGUCGCGAAGGUUUUCCGAAUGGUCCGGAGAGGAAGAUUAAUAUAUAGAAAGUAUCCAUUUGGCUUCCGGAAGGUUUCCGGGCAUUACCGGUAAAGUACCGGGAGAGACGAAUAGGUUCCGUAGUUCCACCGGGAGGGGCCACUCACCCGGGAGAGAACCAAAGAGGCCCAGGGUGGCACACCAUCCCCUGGUGGGCUGGUGGCCAGCCCAAGUGGGCCUGGUUCAGACGAAGGAGGAGAAAGGAAAGGAGAGGUGGGGCAAACCGAAAUAGGAAGGGACUCCUCCUCCCAAUCGGAUUGGAGGGUGACUCCUCUUCCUUCCAUGGCGCGCCAGCCAACCCUAGGGAUUUUUCCCUAGGGCGCCACCCCUCCCUCUCUCCUAUAUAUAGUGGAGGUGAGAGAAGCUUUUGGCACCCAAGCCAUAGUACAACCCUCUCUCCCUCCACCACUUCGUGACACCCCGUAGCUAGUUCGGUACGGCACGGCGAAGCCCUGCCAGAGUAACUCCACCACCAUCACCGCCACGUCGUUGUGCUGCUGGAGAGUUCAGCUACCUCUUUGCCUCUCUUGCUGGAUCCACAAGGCAGAGAUCGUCAUCGAGAUGUACGUGUGCUGAAUACAGAGGUGUCGUCCGUUCGGUACUAGAUCGGGACGGACUUCGUGGGACGCUUGCGAUUCGGAUUGCGAAGACGUUCGACUACAUCAACCGCAUUUAUUAACGCUUCCCGCUUAGCGAUCUACAAGGGUAUGUGGAUCCGAUCUCCCCUCUCGUAGAUUAUCAUCACCAUGAUAGGUUUUGCGUGUGCAUACGAAAUUUUUUGUUUCCCAUGCGACGUUCCCCAUCAGUGGUAUAAAAGCUAGGUUCAUGCGUAGAUGAUAUCUUGAGUAGAACACAAAAGAGUUUGUGGGUGUUAAUGUUCAAUUUUCUGCCCUCCUUAGUCUUUUCUUGAUUUAGCGGUAUUGUUGGAUUGAAGCGGCCCGGACCAACAUUCCUCAUGCGCGUACGAGAGACCGGUUUCAUCGACUAACAUUCAACUUGUUGCAUAAAAAUGACUGGCGGGUGUUUGUUUCUUCAACUUUAGUUGAAUCGGAUUUGACCGAGGUGGUCCUUGGAGAAGGUUAAAUAGCAAUUUGCACACCAUCGUUGUGGCUUUGCAUAAGUAAGAUGCGAUCAUACUAGAUACCCAUAGCAGUCAUGUAAAUUUUGCAACAACAAAUUAGAGGACGUCUAACUUAUUUUUGCAGGGUAUGCAUGUGAUGUGAUAUGUCCAAUGACAUGACAUGAUAUAUUGGAUGUAUGAGAUGAUCAUGUUGUAAUAAUUAAAUAUCGACUUGCACAUCGAUGCUACGGCAACCGACACGAGCCAUAGGGUUGUAUUUAAUUAUUUUGUGCUUGGUGAUGCUUUUCUUUAUCGCUAGUAGUAGCUUUAGUAGUAACAUCAUAGUUAGCGCGACAACCUCGAUGGAAGCAUGAUUAUGGAGAUGAUGGUGUGGCGACGGUGACGAUGGAGGUCAUGCCGGUGCUUUGGUGAUGGAGAUCAAGAAGCACAAGUUCAUGGCCAUAUCAUGUCACUUAUGAUUUGCAUGUGAUGUUAAUCCUUCUAUGCACCUUAUUUUGCUUAGGACGACGGUAGCAUUAUAAGGUGAUCCUUCACUAAAAUUUCAAGAUAAAAUUGUUUUCUCCCCGACUGUGCACCGUUGCGAUAGUUCGUCGUUUCGAGACACAAAGUGAUGAUCGGGUGUGAUAGACUCUACGUUCACAUACAACGGGUGCAAAACAGUUGUACCACGCGGAACACUCGGGAUAAACUUGAGGAGCCUAGCAUGUACAGACAUGGCCUCGGAACACAAGAGACCGAAAGGCCGAACAUGAAUCAUAUAGUUGAUAUGAUCAACAUGGAGAUGUUCACCAUUGAAACUAAACUCAACUCACGUGAUGAUCGGACUUGAGUUAGUGAAUUUGGAUAAUGCGACACUCGAAUGACUAGAGGGAUGUCAAUUUGAGUGGGAGUUUAUUAGUAAUAUGAUUAGCUAAACUCAAUUAUCUUAAACAUAGUCUAAGUAAUCUUUGCAAAAAUUUAUGUUGUAGAUCAAUGGCUCGCGCAGUAGAAACCCUUAAUUUUAAUGCGUUCCUAGAGGAAGCUAAGCUGAAAGAUGAUGGAAGAAACACUGUUGACUAUGCCCGUAAUCUGAGGCUUAUCCUCACGGCUGCCCAAAAGCAAUAUGUCAUUGAUGCAGCACUAGGUGAUGCUCAAAGAGAGAUAAAUUGCCAUCCAGGUACUGGCUAUGGACCCGUAGGUCUGUGGUGAUCCACUUACAUAUCAUCAUGAGGGCAUCAAGGUUGAUGAAGAAGCCCUCGGUGAUCGAUCCGACCUCUGGCAGAGUGCCGAGACAGAGCUCUAGAUGGACCCCCGUCAGAACAGAGACUUGUGGCAGCGUAAAAAGUGUUUCCGGACCUCCGUCGAUGUUUUAGGAUAGAUGAGAAUUUAUAGACUAGAGAACAGAGUCGGGAGAGCCGCGAGGGGGCCACAAGCCAUUAGGGCGCCCCCUGACCGCGCCCUGUUGGCUUGUGGGGCCCUCGUGCACCCUCGUGCCUCCUUUCGAUGCUCCACGGUCUUGUUUUAGUCCAGAAAAAAAUCACAAAAAGUUUUAGGUCAAUUGCACUUCACUUGGUACUAAACCGUAAAAAGUGGAAAACACGCAGAAAACAACAACUAGCACUUGGCACUGGGUCAAUAGGUUAGUGCUCAAAGAUAAUAUAAAUUGGUAGAUAAUUAGUUCAUAAAAAAUGUUCUAAAAUGAUAACAUAAUAGCAUGGAACAAUCAAACAUUAUAGAUACGCUGGAGACAUAUCAUUGUACCGCUCGCUAGGGUUUUCUGCAUGGUACUUGUGUGCACUGAUUGUACCGGUGCACGAAGAGGUUGUACUGCUGUAGUGUAAAAACCGUUGUAACAGUUGAAUUUGGGGGCACUAUAAAAGGGGAUGGUUCUUCCACCGACCUUCUUACCUCUUACCUCUCUCUUUCUCUCUCUUUCCUUCAUUAAUGCCCUCCAAGCUUUCUUGCUCGAUCUCUCUUCCACUCAUUAAUGCUAGCAUCAUCGUACAUUUGGAGUCGACACACUUUGCUAGAGGCCGCUACCGGCUAGCCGAGCUGGAUGUGAUCUGACUUGCAACCAAGUGAACGAGAACCUAAGGGGUCGUGCUCUUAAGAGAAGGAUUCUACGAGGUCAUAUACGAGGACACUGGUCGGAUGUGAUCUGAGCUGGACUUAGAUCAUGACCAAGUAGACUUUAGGCUUUAGGAUCCAUGUGAGGCCCAAAAUUGAGACCGCGACGGAUGCCUAUAUAUAAUGGGGGUACCACACACAUAUUCGGUCGAUUGCUUCAGCAUCGUCAUUAGGGCGUUGCAUGUGUUAGAACCACCCACCUCCACUCGCCGCCGGUUGUGUGAUCGGACCUAGCAGUCCGCCACAUGACGUUCCUCCUGCACGUGCGAAUACCGUUAGAGGUGGUGCAGUUGCGCAGCUCCAACGAAGUUGUCCACGGGAUUCAGCGGACGACUGUUUGAGAGACCGGACGAGGAGGGGGCAACUCCUGGGACGCGCUAGCACCACUAUUCGUCCACUACAUUGCGCUCUAGUGGUAACAAUCUGUGAUUCCUCUCCUUAGCAUGUUCCCGGUUAUACAGUGCAUAGGAAUUUUUUUUAUAUUCCAGCCGAUGCACCUAGCGUAGCCCAACACUAUCCCUCCGUCCCUCCCUUCCUUCCUCUCUCUCUCUCUCUCCCUCUCUCUCUCUCAAACACUUAAUACAUGCAUACUUACAUUAGUUUGAUCAUGUUCAUGUGAUUUAAGGUUAAUUGAAUUUGUGGCACUAUCAUAUGAACAAUGAUGGUGCCAAAUCCAUGGCCUAAAUAAGUUGCAUCCAAAUGUACACGGAAAAUAGUUAGAUAAAAAGUAUGAACACAUCGUAGAACAUAUUACAUCGAGAAUCGAUUAUGGUUCUAUACAUAAAAGAACAAAAAUCUCGUGGUGCAAACUAAACAUACGUUUAUAUUAAUUAAAUGUAUGCACAUUUCGUUCCUGCAAAAGAAAUUUGUCCUAUUCGGAAGAAAAGAAAACAAGUUUUGAAAAAUCAUGUAGCAAUUACUAGAAAGAUUACCAGAGUUGAGAUACACAACUAUGGACGUAGCCAUUUGAGAUUAUCCUGUCACUGUCCACGGACCCGCCCGCAGAUGUAUAUAUGUAGUGCUCCAUUUGGCAAUUGGAGUUGCAGAUGCUCUAACUUCCUUCUUUUUUGUGAACCAUGUGAUGAACAAGCUCUCUCGAAACAGGCUUUCGCCCCGCUUUAUAGAUAAAGCACAACGGCCAGAAUCCAACCCACAUGUUCGAACACAAAAAAUAAAAAAGAGAGUCAGGUGGGGCAACAACACAGUCCAGCCCAAAAUAAAGAGAAGAAACAAAAAAUUCCCACACAGGGGCAAGCUAGGCAGCAAGCAAGGGAGAGGAGAGCCGUCGGGCGGCCGCCAUCAACGCGUCCAGGUAGAGCUGAAGUCGGCCUCGAUCCCGGGUCCUAACGAGCGGAUGCCAAUGCUGCAAGAAGGCAAGGAAUUUGAAGAACGAGUCAGAAGCACGCCGCGGAAACACCUUCUCAAUCAUCAUUUUAUUGUGAGUAGUCUAGAGGGUCCACAUCAUAGCCGCGAAGACCAACCAAAACAGUCGGCGUUUAUGACCGACCUGGGUGGCCCGCACCUGUAGAAAAUCUGCAAGGUCAGAGGCCUCCCACUCUGGUCCCAGAGCCUCGCGUACAAAGCAUCAUAGUGCAUGUGCCGCAACGCAUGAGAACAGAAUGUGAGAGCCAUUCUCCGGGACAUGGCACAGGGGACAUAUGCCGUUACCCGGACCAUGGCGUUUCAGCACCUCGGUCCCUGAAGGUAAACGGUCUCGGAGAAGCUGCCAAACAAAAAUCUUGAUCUUCAAGGGCAGCGGGGCCUUCUAGAGUGGGGAUAACCACGGGAGGACCAGCAUUCUGCACAGGGCCAGGUAUGCCGAACUAACAGAGAAUUCUCCCGAGGGAGAGAGGCUCCAAGAGAUACUAUCACUGACCGCCGAGGUCGAGAGGGGAAUCACUGCCAAGAGUAACUCCCAGUCCAGGACCUCAACAGGGCCAAGGGGUCGGCAGAAUGCAACAUGCCAUCCGUCUUCCAGAGCAGCAGCAGAAACCAGGACAGCAGGGUCGGCGCAGAUAGCAAAGAGCCUCGGGAAACGGAAUCGUAAAAGCUCUCCUUCCAACCAGGGAUCUAACCAAAACUGGGUCCCAGAUCCAUCGCCCACCGAGAUCCCCAAACUCAACCUAAUCUCGUGCUUAAUGCUCUGGAUAGACUUCCAGAACUGCGAACCAUUCGCGAGAGAGCAUGCCAAGAGUGGUCUGCCUCGAAGGUAUUUGGCCUUAAUCAAUUGAAGCCACAGACCCCCAUCUCCGUGCAGAAUCCGCCAAACCCAACGGAGCAUCAGGGCCACGUUCAUGAGGCGGGACGCAGGAAUGCCUAGGCCCCCUCAGUCUUUUGGCAAGCAGAUGUCUGCCCAUUUCACCAUGUGAUACUUGGGCCUACCAUUCCCUGCCUGCCAAAAGAAUCUAGCCAGUUCCUUGUCAAAGGCGUUGUGCACACCUUCGGGCAGGAUAUACAACCCCAUCAUAUACAUGGGGAGGCUAGCGAGGUUAGAGCUAAUGAGGAUGGAUUUGCUGCCUUUAGAAGUGAACCUGCCGCACCAGGGUUCCACACGGGAUGCUACUCAUCCCACAAGCGGAUCGAACCCGCUAACCAGAAUCCUGGACUCCGCCAGGGGCAUUCCCAAGUACGAGAUAGGGAAAGAAGCCAGCUUGAAGUUAAGGUUGUCUGAAUCCUGUGAUGCUCAGCCUCAGAGUAGCCGAGGACCACCACCUCACUCUUAUCAAAGUUAAUCUUAAGUCCAGACAUUUCCUCGAAGCAGAGCAAAAGGAACUUAAGAUUGGCAAUGUCCGAGUCCGAGCCUGAGACCAUGAUCAUGGUGUCGUCUGCAUAUUGGAGGUGUGACACCCCACCCCCCGGGAUGAGGUGACCAACCACCCCCUGGAUAUGCCCGGCUAAUCUCGCCUUAUCCAGGAUGCCGGCAAGGGUGUCCACGGCGAGAUUAAACAGCAGGGGGGAGAUAGGGUCCCCUUGCUUUACCCCCCUGGAAGCCCAAAAAAAGGGGCCUAGUUCACCAUUGAUAUUGAUGGCGGUGCUACCAGAUCGAACCAGCUGCAUAAUCCAGGUGCACCACCUCUCGUCAAAUCCGCGCCGCUGCAACACUAACCUCAAGAAGGACCAACCAAGACGGUCAUACGCCUUAUGGAAGUCCAAUUUGAGAAUGACCCCCUUCAAUCCCUUGGACGCCACCUCAUGGACAAUCUCGUGAAGGGCAAGAAUUCCGUCAUGAAUCUUCCUACCCUUCAGGAAUGCGGACUGAAGGGGGUGCGCAAUCCGUUCGGCCACAGGGGACAGACGAGUGGCGCAGACUUUAGCAAAAAUACGCGCCACCAUGUUAAUCACCGUAAUAGGCCUAAAUUGCCGAAUCUCUGCAGCCCCAAGUAGUUUGGGGAUGAGGGCAAUGACUCCAUAGUUAAUCCUGCCCAUGUCCAGAGUGCCUAUAUAGAAUUCAUGGAACAUGGGCAUGAUAACUGGGUGCACGGUCUCCCAGAAUUGCUGGAAAAAACCACCGGGAGGCCGUCUGGCCCCGGGGUCGAGCACACCUUCAUAGAAGCGAUUGUCUGGCCAACUUCCUCCGAGGAAAAUGGGAGAGUGAGUUCCGCAUUCUCCACGUCGGACACCUGAUCAGCUAGCGGCCAGAAGUCCUCACAGAGAGAGGAGCCUCCCCGCAGAUCGGCCGAGAAUAACUCCUUAUAGAAGGAGUAAAUAUGGGAUGAGAUGUCUUCCGGCUUUCCAGAACAGCAUCCCCAUCCCGGAGGAAAGGGAUGACACAUUUCCGCCUUCGGCCGUUGGCGAUGGCCUGAAAGUACGCGGUGUUUGCGUCCCCCUUGAGGAGCCAGUUCUGGCCACCUCGACGUUGCCAGAACAGUUCCUCGGAGCUGAAGAUGCCCAUGAGCUCAGCGUCGAGGGAUUAUGUCUGGAUCCAGUCAUCCGGGGACAGACCUGUACCGUCCGCCAAGUCAUCUAGGGUCUUAAUCUGGCCUAGCAAGGCCCCUUUACGGGCCCGGAGAUCAGCGCCCAAGUUAGCACCCCAGCCCUUCAUGGCCUGGCGCGCCAUCUUGGCACAGUGAUGCCAAAUGUCCACCGCACAAUAGACACGCGGCGGGGAGGCGGCAGCCCAAUGCCACUGGUCGCGGACCAACUCGCGGAAACCAGGCUGAUCCAACCAAAAAGUCUCAAAGCGAAAGCGCCGUGAUCUAGGGGGGAGCCUUCCCCCGACGAGAAGAGCAGGGGCGUAUGGUCUGAGCCAAUCUGCGUGAUGGCCCUAAGCCCGCACAGGAGGAACAUCACUUCCCACUGAGGCGACACAAAGACCCGGUCUAGAACACUCCGGACGGGGUCCGCCUGCUUGUUCCACCACGUGAACCUGGCCCCUACGCGAGCUAUCUCACGUAGCGCCAAGUCUGCAAUGCAGUCAUUAAAAAGACGCAUCUGGGGUCGAUCUACAUUCUGAGAGCUUUUAUCAGAAGCCCACCUAAUAAAUUAAAAAUCACCAGCCACCACUACAGGGGUGGUGCACCUAUCCACCUUAUUCUUUAGCUCGGCGAGGAAUUCUGCGGAGCGGGCAUGGUCUGCCGGACCAUAGACAAUAAUCACCUCCCAGCUGAGGUGGGUACGUCGGUCGGUGAUGGCCAUGCUCACAAUGAACUCCCCCCGGUCCAUGUCCUCCACCGAGAACGCCUCCUCCCGAACACCAAGCAGGAUUCCCCCAGAGUGGCCCGAUGCAGGGAGCCACUGCCAGGAGAACUGGUGGCGGGAGAGCCUCUGAAGCUCGAGCAUGCUAAAGUCCUACCGAAUCGUUUCUUGCAGCCCUACUAUGUCAAUCUCUUCUUGACGCAAAUACUCAACAAGUUGCCGCCGCCGGCCAGGGAGGCCGAAGCCCCUAAUGUUCCAACAUAGGAGCUUCAUUUAACAAUCUCGCCUGGAUUUCUAGGCCCCGCAAGCGGGGCCGAACUAGCCCGCCCGUCAACCUCGAGGCGGGGGAGCGCCUUAGAUGGACGACCCCGGUGUCCCCGAGAAGAGGGGACAUCGGAGGUCGCCGGGCCAGAGGAGGGAGCUCCGGGGCCUGACACUCGCUCCUCUCCACGUGUCUCAGUGGGGUUGAGACGGGUAGGCGGCCGCCCCCUGGGCUUCCGGACAGAGGGAAGCCCACCUAUGGGCGGCACAGGACCAACUGCAACCGCUGCCGGAGGUGCGCCACCAGCCCUGGUCUCUCUAUGACCAGGACCGGCGUGCACCGGGGGAGAGGGGGAGUUGGAGCGCGCGGCGAGACAGCGCGCUUCCGCUAACACCCCCUCAAGCCUCUCUUUCGCACAGAGGGCGGAGAUAUGCUCAAGAGGGGGACCUUUCUCCCCCCGAAACACAAUACUACUGUUCGCAGCCACAACAGCCAAAAGGGGCACCAAAUCGCUAGAGAGAACAGAAAACCAAGAACCAGAGCCAGAAGGGGGAGGAGAGGAGGCGUACCUGGGAACAGAUCGCGGGCCGCAGCACGCCGGGCCGCCAGCUCAGGCAUCGUCGGGACGCGGCCGUCCUGAAGGGUCCGGGACUGGCUGAUCCGAGCGCUCUGACGUGCCGACACGAUGGGGGAAGUGCCCUCCCGAGGCCGAGAGCGGGGCACAGGAGGGUACUCGGGCGCCCAACCAGGGUUGACGACCACCGGAGGGCGCGAAUCCGGGGACCCCAAGGUUGGGGAAGGGGGGAACUCGGAGAGCACGAGUAGCAAACCACCCCUGGCGAGCGCGGGGACGAAGCAGGGCAGACCUCCAUACCCACACUCACCUCCUCCUCAGCAGCGACCACCGGGAUAGGGGAAGCAGGGAGAGUGAUCUCCAUGCCUACCACCACCACCGGCGCCAAAGUACCCACCGUGGAGCCUCCUGCGAGCCCCGACUGGCCAACACCCGAGGGGGCGGGGGUGCGCCGACCGCCAGAUGGCUCGGGCGGAGCCCCGACCGUAUCAUCGUCCCCCUCAGAAGAAGGCCCCUCCUCCGACGAGCCCCCCUCCUUGUCAAGACCCCCGUCGGCAGGCUCCAGCCCAGGCGGGACCGGAUCUAGCUGAGCCGCUGAAGCCGGGGACUCGAGCUCGAAGGUCAGACGCCUGCCCUUGGACCCAAAGUAGAAGACCAAAGACAACCCGUCAAUCUCAGCAGGAGCCGGGCAGAGAAUCUCAAUGCGGGCAGGGCCAUCAUCCUCGAAAGAUGCCAGGUCGGCGGUGAUCAGUUUGCCCAUGGGUUUAGAGAUGGCUUUCAGAAUAUGACUGAGCUUGCCACCCCGCGGAGCCGCACUGCCCCCCCUUGGGAGGCCAUAGACGAGGACCCAAACCUUCUCCAAGGGAGGGACGGGGUCAGGCUCUGACAUGGCCGCCUGGACGCUGAUCGGGAGCUGGUUGAGGGGACACCGGAUAGGACCAUGCGAGCAGACCCGGAGUAGCUCGGCCGAGGGGAAGGGGACCGAGAAGACCAGGGGAGCCGUCUCAGUCACCUCCCAUGCGAACUCAGAGCCGCGAAAGUCGCCAAUGUAGGCCGCAAGCUCAUCCUGGAUGAGGUCAGACGAGAUCACCAGGCCAUCCGGGAUAGGCUGCUCGGGCUCCAAGGUGACCGUCGCUAGGUGAGGACGAGCAGCUACCUCCUCAAUCUCCGCAUCCACGAAGUAGAAGCUUCCCCGCUCAGUGCCAUACCCAAGAUAGGCAAGAAUCGUGGGGCACCGUGGGGGAGCCUCACACUCCGAGCGGUAGUGCCCGGUGCACCCGCAGUUGAUGCACAUCGUGUCCUCGCGGGAGCGCUGGCGGGUAGCACGAGCAGGGGGUCUAGAGCCUCAUGCUCAGGAGCCCCCUGAGCUCCUGGCGACGUCAGGCCGCCAGCACCGCCAACAGCCUUCUUCUUCUUCGACUUCAUCUUCUUCUUAACCGGGGUCGGGCGGGAAGCGGAGCAGCAGGCAGGGCAUCUGGGGACACGUGCCUAGAAGGCCCGUCGUCCCGGCACCAGUCCGCACCCGUCGCCCGAGAGGAGCGCCAGUCAGCCCGACGUCCAUCAUCACCGCGCCGCAUUGGCGGCCCGCCCCACCGCUCCCCCGGGCGGUGGUCCUGGCGAUCACGGGGCGGCCCGCCCCACCGCUCCCCAGGAAGGCGCCGCGGGGCGGUGAGCGAGGUCCCGAGCCGGGGGGUAGCGGGGCGCUGGCUCCUCACACGGCUGAGAUGCCGGAGUGGGGCGAGCAACCAACUCUGCACACAGAGUCGCUUCCCGGUCCAGGUCGGCCGCGCGGGCGGCCUCCAGGCGGCGACGGUCCCCCGGCGAACCCGGCAACGGCAGGCGGGGAUCCCUCUCCGGAUCACGAGGGGGAGGCGGACGGCGAAGGGAGGUCCCGGAGUAGUACUCCGGGGACUUCCCCGGCCGGGCAGACCCACCGCGCCCGGAACGGGACGAGGCAGCACCCCCUUCCAUGGCACGGUCACGGGCGGCGGGCAGCGCCUUCAACACCGCGCGAGCCUGGUCACGAGAGGUUGGCGUAGGGAGGAGCCCCUGCCCAGCCGGGAGAGGCCGCUUCGGUCGGGCCUGGCCGUUCCCGGCGUGGCGUGUCAUGAGCACGUCCCGGUAGGAGCGCCGUGGGGAGGGGAUGGGGAGCAGGUCCGGGCGCCGGGCAGCAGACGAGGGCGCGUCGCCGGCAGUGCAGGCGAGGACGGACGAGGUGGAGGGAGCUCUAUGGCUGACGGGACGGGGCGAGCGGGGCCUGGGGAACGGCCGGCGGGACGGGGCGAGCAGGGCCUGGGGAACGGCGGGGACGUCCGCGCCCGACGGGAGAGAGCGAGAGGAAAGGGAGCGGGAGCCCGACCGGAGAGAGCGAGAGAAACGGGAGCGGGACGGGGCGAGGCUGCGAGGUGGCGGUGGCGCACGCUCGGCAGGGUAAACCCUAUCCCCGAGCCGGUCCUCCCGACGCAGGCCUGGGCCGGGACGCGAGCAUGGGGGAGGCCCAGGUGGGCAUCGGCCCACUGCCGGUUAACCUUCUCCAGGACUCGGGAGACGCGGCGGGAGGCCCAGGCCAUCUCGCUAGCUGAGAUGGGCCCAGGCCCCGUUCGCAGCGGCCCAUGGGGAGAGCCGGCCCAUCCGUCCGCCAGCCGGCCAGGGGAGUUAGGGCAUGGGGGAGGGGACUGACGAGGCACUCGGGCACCUCCCGCUGCCGCCGGCACCGCCGCCGCCGCCACAGGAGGCAGGGCACCAGCGCCUGGUCGGGGCUCGCGGGGGCCCUCUCCGGCGACCGCCAUGGGGGACAACCCAGGCAGCAAACCGGCUCGGGCCAAGGAGGGGAGAGGGGGAACCACAGGGGGACAGUGCACCGGCGACCGCCGCCCGACCUCCUUCCCCGGCCGCCGGCGGGCAGGGCGCGCCGCAGCCAGGAACGAGCCGAGCAGCGGCGGUGCCAGGGACACCGGCAGCUCCAACCGGUCAUCACCAUCCGAAGAGGCCUCCAUGUCAUCGGGGUCGGGAUCGUCCGUCCAGUCCGCCCAACGUCGCGGCGACCGUUGGAAGCAGAGGGAGGGCGCCCCCGGCGGGGGAAGCGGGGGCAUCGCGCUCACGCAGCACGCCGGCCGACCGCCGUCAGCGGGCACCGCGCAGCUUCAGGUCUCGGCCCGCCGGAGAGGAGCCGCCCAUCGCUUCUUCUCUUCAGGAAUCUAGUCGCCGGCCCACAAGUGGGGUGAUGAACAAGCUAAUGCGAUUUAAAGUAAUCAUACCUCGUCCUAAGAAAUUAAAAGUGAAUUCAUACUGUGCAGCUAGAAAAAGAAUCAUAAAAGUAUACAAGCGCAUGUGAAAAGAAAAAGAUGAACAACUUGCCACUUCAUAUAGGUGAUCUAAUUAACUAAUUUAGGGUUCGAAUAACUUUGUUUCCCCACAAUCAUGACAAAGUGAACCUUUUGUUGAAAGCCGGAAUUCUGCAAUAAAGCUGCAAUGGUAGAUCUAUUUUUAUCAGGGAAUCUACCAUGCUGAGCUGCUGCACACAAGGCGUUCUCACUCACGAGUCGCAAAAAAGAGUUGGUGAGUUAUUAAAAAAGAAGACAAAGAGGACGAGUGAGUUGCACCAAAAUUAAAUACUUCCUUCAUUUCAAAAUAAAUGUCUCAAUUUUAUACUACCUCUAGUAUAAGAGCAUGGUUAAUAGUAUAGUCAACUGCUGGCUAUAAGCUAUCUUAUAGCCUAUCUUAUAGCUAGCUUGUACAAUAGUUAGCUAUAAAAGAGUACUACUUUUAUUCUAUAUGGCCCACCUUUCAUUUUCACAAAGCACCUACGAGCACGUGCUAGAGCUGGCUCUUUACGAAGAGCCCGCUUCCCUUCUCACUCCUAUUCUCUCUCAUCCAACUCAGCAAAAAUACAGUAUUUUAAUCCUUACAGCCUGCUGACUGUACCUUAUUGUACUUGCUCUAAAGUUGUACUCCCUCCGUUCCAAAAUAUAAGACCUUUUAGAGAUUUAUUAGAAGACUACAUACGAAGCAAAAUGAGUGAAUCUAUACUCUAAAAUAUGUCUAUGUACAUCCGUAUGUAGUUCAUAGUGCAAUCUUUAAAAUGUCUUAUAUUUAGGAACGGAGGGAGUAUUAAGUUUGAGGCGGUUAUAUUGAGACGGAGAGAGUACUAGAUAUACGUAAUCUGAAAUAGUGGAGUACCAAAAUUAUAGGCCUCUAUGAUUAGGAGGAUUUUCAUAAAACAUUUGGAAAGUUGUGAUACUUGAGAAUUUUUCCUUUAUCGCUUAUCUGAUUCGUAGAUUGACUCCUAUAGGAUUUUCUCCUAUGGAUUCCCUUUGACUGCACAUUUCAUGAAAAAAAACAUUAGUUUGCCAUGAUAAUUUUUCACCAGGAUGCACAAAAAAUGAACUAGUUCUGAAAGGUUUAUUGGCUUCAUUUGGAUUUACUUAGAAUCAGCUCAUAUUAGCAAUAAUUAAAGAUGGCCGAACGAUGGCGCCGUCUCCCUCCCGACCCGGGGCCGCAUGCAGCCCCUCUCCCUCUGCCCCCCUCCUCCUGUCGGUGCCCUCGGAUCUGGUCCGGGUGGUGUUGGCGGUGGCGGGAUCUCCAUUACCUGUGCGCGGACGUCCUUCCCGAGGCAGGGGAUCGACGGUGGUGCGGCUCGGCCUGCUGUGGUCCGACGACCUAGAGGUGGUGGCCGGCAGCCGACGUGGUGGUGGCGCUGCUCCUUGGCGGCGGGGUGGCCUAGCGGCACGGGGUGGCCGGCUGCACGACCCCGGGCCAGAUCAGGGCCCAUAAGGCCUCAUCUAGGUCCUAGGGGACUGGCUCUGGCAUGGACUUGCUGCCUCCUGUACAGGGAUGAGGAGGGGCGGGUUGAAAGGGGGGCCGCGAUGCCGACGGUGUGCUUUCUGCAGCGCGAUGGCAGGAGCUUUAUGGGUAUUUGUGGGGCCAUGAGCCUGGUUUGCUCCUGCCGAUGUGUCCGGUCGGUUACUGUCGUUGACGAUGGAAGUCGGACCCUCCCGCAGGCCGCCGGUGUUGCUUCCCCUAGUCCCGACUCUUCUUCUUCGAUGUGCAGGCCUCACUUCUCGGUGUCCUGGUGAGACAGUGUGGGUCGCUUCAAGAUUGUGCUUGCGCAGGGCGGUGGGUGGUAUGGUGGAGUCCUCCGGAACGCCCGUGGUGAUGCGUGGGGAUCGGGACGUACAAAUCCUUGUCGGCCUGUUCGACACCGACACGGUGACGCCUGAGGGUGUCGACGGACCUUCCUGGAGGGUGUCGGGUGCUACCCUUUCUUUGUCCUCGUUGUGUAUCGGGGGAAACCCUUGGCAGCAGCGCAGUCAUCGUCGUGUCCCUUCUUGGAGGUGUUGAUUGGUAUCGGCGCUUCGAAGGCUAGGAUCUUGGUGGAAGAUCUUCGAUGGGCGCAACGAUCGCGGGGCCUCUUCAUUUUUGUCGAUCCAUCAUUGUUGGCAUCUAUUCCUUUUGCAUUUUCUUUUUCCCUUCCUUUUGGACGUGAUUGUGAUGUCUCCGUCCCAGCACUUAUUGAUGGAUAUAUCGGGCAUUUGCUAUAUUAAUAUAGCGAGGCGAACGCGUGCUUCGAAGAAAGAUGGACGAACUUACCAACCAUAUUACUUGUGCUUAUUUAUUUUCUUCUGUUACAACGCACAAACAUAUUUGCUAUUUGAACUAAAUCACAUUGCCAAUUGCUCGUCUAUCAUGUCAAAUCAGAACCACGCAUCUAACCCUCCCAAGAUGUAGAUCGAUCGGUUUUACUCGGCAUUCAUUAUGGAUCGGAGGGAGUACUCCUAGAUCAUAUUCAAAAUUGCUCCACGCCACAAAUAAAACUGCACGGUACAUAUGGUAAAUCUGGGAAAGUGAUUUGCGUGGUAUGUGUGCCAUAAUCAACUGAAUUAUUGGACUAACCGCAUCAAGAUCGGAUCACAUCGAUCCUAUCCCCGUCGACGAGACUGUCCUCGAAUCAAAAUAUUUCUCCAAUGGACGCUCGUGUCCCACGCUCUGAAAGCGACGCCUUUUGUUUUGUCAGUUAAUUUUCACGUCAAGCUCACACCCACGCACGCACCGUGUAGGAUCCACGGCUCGACGCACCUCCCCUUCCCUCCCCUUCUCCCUAUUUAACGAGCUAGCCACCCCCACGCUUUUUGCACCUCAGCAAGCACCAACACACACACACACACAAGAAAUGGCGAUGGCUAGGACGACGACGCUCCUCCUCGUCGCCGCAGCUCUCCUCGCGGCCUCAUGCAGCGCAUGGGAGGUCAACAUCCGCAUGCCGACGUCGGCGGCGGACGUGGACGAGGCGGUGGUGGCGCCGCUGAUCCACGCGCUGCGGCCGCUGCUGGGCUCCGGCAAGCACGCCGGAGUGGCGUGCGACAGCUGGGUGCUGGGGGUGGAGGCGCACAACGUGCGGGACUGGAAGACGGUGCCCGCGAGCUGCGAGGGCUACGUCGGGCACUACAUGCUCGGCAGCCAUUUCCGCCGCGACUCCAAGGUCGUCAUCGACCAGGCCCUCGCCUACGUCGACUCCCUCAAGCUCGCCGGCAACGGCAAGGAGGUCUGGGUCUUCGACAUCGACGAGACCACCCUCUCCAACCUCCCCUACUACGCCAAGCACGGCUUCGGGUACGUACUUACACUCUUGUAUACAUUACAUAGACACUACUGAUUCUACGUGUAGUGCAUGCAUUAGACUUGCUAUUUACUGCAGGUACAUCCGACCGAGCAGGGACUUGCACUCAUCUUUUCACUAAGAUGAAGUGUAAAUAAUCUGACUAGAUAUAUAUUGUAAAAAAUCAACUCACUAGCUAGCUAAAAAAUACCAGCGAGAUCUGUAAUGAAUGAAAAUUGGAAAGCACAUAAGGAUAGAAAUAUUGGAAAUAAAAAGGAAUAUAAUCACUAAGUAGAAAAGUACUUUAAUCACAAGUGUUGGACACUUGGACAUCAUCAUUGCCAGUAGGACUCGGGCCAUAUGUCCCUAGUAUGAAUGGCCAACAAAACAAGAAGGAAACAUACUAUAUUUUGAGAUAGAGAUGUGAUGUUGAUGGGCAUGCGAAUGUGGUGGCCGGGUAGGACCGUAUAUGUUGUCCACUUGGCUACUUUAUGGAAAUGUUCUAAUUAUGUUAUGCUAGUCAACUCAUACUUUCUAAUUAUGUCAUACUUUUGUACACAUACACACUAUUGUAGUGCAUUAUACUCCCUCUCUAUCUAAAUACUUAGAGUUCGAAAGAACUAGGUGCAUUUCAGCAGGGGCUUGCACUGAUCUAUUCGUUCAGAUAAAAUAAAUAUCUUACUAGACCUCGUUCAAAUGAACUCACUAGCUAGAAAGCACUAGUAUCAUAAGAUUUCUAAUGAAUGAAAGUGGGAAAACAAAUGAGACUAGAAGUGGAAACAAGGAAUAUACUCACUAGCUAGAAAAGUAUUAAUUGGACGUGUUGGACACACUUAGGCAGCAUCAUUGCUGGUUACCUCAAAUCAGUCACAGAGACGGCCAUCAGGACCAUAAAUAUGUCCCGCCUAUGAAUGGUCAACAAAACAAGAAGGAAACAUAGUACUAUAGUUUGAGAAUAUGGUGGCCGGGGUAGGACCGUAUAUGUUCUCCACUUGGCUACUUUAUGGAAACGUUUAUUUCCAGCUGUCCUUAUCAGCCGAUACGUUCUAAUUAUGUUAUGCUAAUCGAUUGAUAUUUUCUGAUUAUGUUAUGCUAAACUUAGUUCAGAUGGAUAGUACUCCGAUACGUUUUCAUUAUUUUAUGCUAAUCUGAGUUUAGAUGGAUAUAAUUACUUAUUUUAGAAGAUGUGAGAGGUCAGAACAUCUUGUGCAUAGUUAGUAGUUACAUGCUACUCCCUCCGUUCCUAAAUACAAAUCUUUUAAAAGAUUUCACUAGUGGUCUACAUAUGAAGCAAAAUGAAUGAAUUUAUACUAUAAAAUAUGUUUAUAUACAUUCAUAUGUAUUACUCUAACCUCUAAAAAGAUUUAUAUUUAAGAAUGGAUGGAGUACAACUCUAUUCCUCUUUUCUCAAAUAGUUGAACACUAUUCCUCUUAGUUAAGAAGAUUCUCUUGAACCAAGAUGGAAACUAACUUGAAAUGUAGUAGAAGUCUAGGUGAUAUCUAGCCAACAUGAUGAUACCAGUUUAGUUCAAAACAUGAUUAACUAGCUCCGGAUAGCUUGCUUGUGUAUAUUUUGAAUGUGAUGAGGGAGCUAGUUCGUUGUGAUUUAAAAUAAACUGUACCUUGCCGUAAGAACUUUAAAGUGGAUCUACACUGGGCGGCUGGAAAAAGAUACAUAAAAGUAUAUAUAUGCGCAUCAAGGAAAAAAGAAAGAUCAAAAGCUUAUAACAGCAUGUCUAACUAAUCGAGCGGUUCAAAUAACUUUGUUUCAUCACAAUCAUGACAAAAUUAACCUUUUUUGUUGAAAGUCGGAACUCUGCAAUAAGGUUGCAAUGGUAGACCUAUUUUACCAAAGGAAUCAACAAAGCUGAGCUGCUGCGUACAAAGCUGUGCACGAUGAGAUUAAAUACUACAACUGCGUUUUCGGUCCAACAAAACAGUAGCGUGAUGAUGCCGGAGUGAACCUCGCUAUGUCACAUUCAUUGAUUUACUCCACUUGACCAACUUAAUUUACGACGUCCACAACUACGUACUGCUCAUGCACGUGCGUUACGUACAGAUACAGAGCAUCAUUGCGUUUACGUAUUGCCCAUCCCCUUGGCCAUUUGGCCACUUGGGCCAUAAUCUAGGUUGCCUAUGUUCCUUGGAUAUGCAUAAUUACUACUACUUCUUAGUAGCUGAUAUGAUUGAAUCUGCCAUUAAUCUAUCCUCGUAUACAUGUGCGUGCAGGGCUACACCGUUCAACGCGACCAGCUUCAACGCAUACGUGCUACAGGGGAGCGCGCCAGCCCUGCCGGAGACGAAGCGGCUGUACAACAAGCUGCGCUCGAUCGGCGUCAAGCCGGUGUUCCUCACCGGCCGGACUGAGGACCAGAGGGCCAUCACCGUCACCAACCUCCGCCGCCAGGGGAUCUCUGGGUGGAUGAACCUCUUGCUGAAGCAACCCGGGUUCAAGGGCUCUGCGGUGACCUACAAGUCCGGCGAGAGGCAGAAGCUGCAGGACGCCGGGUAUGUCAUCGUCGGUAACAUCGGCGACCAGUGGAGCGACAUCCUCGGCGCGCCAGAGGGUGCCCGCACCUUCAAGCUGCCCGACCCCAUGUACUACAUCGGCUAGGCCGCCUCUGGCUCGGCCGGGCAUGCUGCCAUUGAUUUCUCGAAUAAGCUCCAUGCUCUUAGUUAUAUGCAUGUUUCGUCAGAUAAUCAAUCCCCAAUUGUUGCUUGGUUCAUUUCCAUUGUUGAGAGCUUGAGAUCAAUUGCUACUAUGAAUUAGACGUGUAAGUGGAGAUGUUGCAUGCUGCUUAAUCAAUGGAUCUUUGUUAUGUUGUUUUUCUUUUUGCUCUAUUACAAGGAAUCCAUGGGCAUUAUUACUAUUUGAUAUCUUGUUCUUAAGUCUUAACUUGGAACUUAUAUUGCUGGUGGUAGAUUUUUCUGUACUAAAUUCUGCAUAUGGUGUAUUAAAUAUCAGGGACACAUAAUAUUGUCACACAUAUGGAAUCACUACUGCUAAAAUGACCAGUUCCUGAACCCAUCUGCUAUUGGGCCCAUUUUGGCCCGUCGGAGGAAGGGAUCAUCGUCGGUGGACAGGCAAAGAAGUGCUCGCAUAGACUCCUUCAAAAAAUGUGCCCUCAUAGACGACGGGUAUUUUCCACUGAUGUUGCGCAACUGGUGAUUGCAAUGUAGUUUGUGUCUUGCAUGUUGUAUGCAUAUGUAAUGAAUGUAACAUCUAAUAGUUAAUUAUGCAAGACAAAUAAAGCCCACCCUUUUCAGUAAGUUUAGAGCUAGAUUUGAGUUUGUCUUGGUCUCAUUUUUCUAAACAUACAAUCCUGGAGACAACUCGGUGAAGAAAUGAUGGUCCAAAUAGGUGUCUAACACGAAUCGUCAUCAAAGAAACCCUAUGGGAACCCACACUAUUCUAGUUACUUGGAUGAUUUGUAAUGAAAGAAAUAUAUGUGUCUUCCAAGUUAUUUUGACCAUGCCAAACAACAUCCCUGCUAAGAUAAAAAACGAUGUGGAGACUUGGAUAAAGGCCGGGCGAAGGAUCUGGGAAACAUUAUGCCAGGAGAGUAGUUCCGUUCUAUUAAUUUAUCCUUGGAUGACGUUUCGCGGAGAGAGGGGAGAGGGCGACCUGGGCGAUCUGGGAGCGUCGGGGGCCGCCGUGGGCAUCGUCGGAGAGGGGGAACAUCGGUACUCCUCCUCCGAUCUCGCAUCCCAGGCGCGGCGCCGGAGCCCGAUCUCGGCGGUGGAGGGACCUACUGUCCGUGUCCGAUGGAGAGUUGCGUACUCAGAGGCUGGUUAUUCGGAUCUGCGUGAGGGGCAGAUUGUUUUUCAUUCGGUUUCUCGUUGGAUGACACUACGGGAUGACGACGACGACAUCCUCGCCGGCUGCCAUCUCCAAGAGGAAGAUCUCAUCUGCGAAGGUGCGCAUUUCAUGGUGGAUAUCUUUUCUGUUACUUGUAUUUCUCCUUUCCUGCAGGUGAAUUCACAAGAACGGAUGCAGCCUGAUUUGGUGGACAUAUCUGACGAUGAUAAGAUCGCCUCACCAAGACUUCUCCCUCGAGUUGGGGGGAGGUUUUGGGUACUGGCUAAAGAUGAAGACGACGAGAACCACGACAUUGCCGUAGCACAGGAGGUCUCUGCUCCUUUCUGCGACCAGGUUUUCCAUCCGGCCACGAGGGAUUUUAUUCAUGCAUUGCCUGAUUCGAAGGUCGUUAAGGUAGUUCAACGCAAGGAGCGAUUGGCGAUUAAACCUUGGAGCGGUCCUCUGCCUAAGGUUCAUCUCGAACCAUUGCGGAUCUCGGACAUCAUACCUUGAGAGGCUUGGACUACUGUUUUGCCUAAGAGGAAGAACAAGGGUAAGAGCCGUAAAUUGCAGACGUCAGUCCCUGACAAGGUGCUGUCGUCCCGUGAUUCUCGCGAAUUACGUUUGAACGAGCCGAUGGCUGUUGUCGGGCCGUUGGGACCGGCGCUCGAGUUGGGCUUAAAAGAAACUGGGUAUAUGGCCCAGAUAGACUCCAAUCUAGCAAAACCUGCAAGUCCUACACCUACGGCUGCCCAGAUUUGCCUUGACGAGAAUCAUCAGGACUUGGUUUCUACGUCAAGUUUGCAUAUACCGAGUUCGGCUCUGCCUAGGGUUCCACGACGGCGUUUGCCUGGCUUCCCUUCGCUCGGGCCGGGUCGUGCAGUACGGGUUCCAGCGCUGCGGUGCAUGGCGGGGCGGGGAAACAAGCAGGCGCUGCCUCCCCCUCGACCACCGGCGGUUUCCCAGGCUGUGGGGCGGACUAGGCAGCAGCCCGUGAUGCCGCCAGGGCGCCAGACGGGCCAGGCUUCGGCUGCACCGGUUCCCGCUGCUGGUCAGGGUUUGCCCAACGCGGCUCGGGCGGAUACUAACAGGAUGCAGCCGAGAGGUCGAUGGGGGGAUGAUGGUGUUAAUGCAUAUGGUGAUGGACAGCACCGUGGAUCCUCUUCGUCUGGAGGAGGACGUGGCUAUGCCUGGCAGAGCAAUGGCAGCGCUGCUAAUGGGUUCGCCGGUCCUCCGGGACAGUUUGUGCCCCGGGUCUCGGGUCCUACUCACCCUAGGGAGGUGGAUAUAAGCAACAUUGGGGAGGGAGAGGUGGUGGCAGGAGAUUGAAGCCGCCCACGCCUCCAGUAGAGGUAGAUGCUGCCAAGACAACGGCGGGAGUACCUUCCAAUGCUCCUAAGGGGAAUACACUGCUGCCACCUGUUUCCGAGGAGGAUCCUUCCUUGGCUGACAAGGGAGUAUCGCUUGCGAAGGCAGAGGGGGGGGGAUAGGCCCUCCAAGUGGGCACGCAAAAAAGAAAAGAUGACAUGCUACCGUUGCAGUGAGACGGGUCAUUUUGUUUCCGAAUGCAGCGCGGAUCUGUGUGACUUUUGCUUAAAGCCUAAGCAUGGCUCAGCUAAGUGCCCCCUUACUGUUGGUCCUAUACAUGUCGUCACUUUAUAUGGGGUUUGCUGCCAAGAGUUGAUGUUCUUUGAAUCUCCCUCUGCUUCAACGUCGUUGCAUGUGCCAGACGCGGCCUAUACGGGGACGGUUACGGUGGCUCGUGGUAAUAUGUCAGCUGAGCAGGUGGUGCAACAGUUGAGGGAUCUUGUUUCAUCAAUGUUUCGGUGGGAACUGGUCCUUAUAGCAGAUAAUGUGUUCAAGGUUGUGUUCCCUACCAAGGAGGACCUAGCUAGACUGCUCAAGUUUGGUAUGUGUCGGGUUCCUAGUACUAGUUGUGUGCUAGAGUUCGAUGCUUGGAAGAAUGAGGAGCCAUAAGGUGUGCCACUUCCUCAGAUUUGGGUUCGUUUUUCAGGGGCCCCGUCAAAGGCUCUAAAUGACUUUCUGGUGACUUGGAGUUUGGGAUCUUUGAUAGGUAAGACUGAGAGGGUGGAUAUGCAAUAUACUCGGGCUAAAGGUGUUGCCAGGAUGAGGGUUAGUGUAAUUGAUAUUGCGCUAGUACCGGAUGAAGUUAUAUGGACUUAUGAUGGAAUGCGGUACACCUUGCAACUCGAGAUCGAGAGUCCGGAUAUGUUCGAGGAGGAUGGGACAGACAAAGAUACCGAUAUGGCUGACGGAGAUGAUGCUUCGGGUUCUAGGGAAUCUGAUAAGAAGGAUCAACAGCCAGUUAUUACAAAGAUGGUGGAUCAACCUACCUCAGGUUCUGCUACAGGGGCUGCUCAACCAGUGUCUCUUCCCUCGACGCAGCUUAGGUUCGGUUCCUUUGAACCAGCCUCGGCGCCAGAGAUUCGAGGGAGGGCUUCAGAGAAGUAUGAGCGGGAUCUGGUUCAUCUUAAGCCGCAAGGAAAGCAAGCAAAGUCAGGGUCAUUCAGUAUUAAAAAUCCUAAGGAAGCUUUGACCGUAGUUUCUCUUGGGGAAUAUUUUGUUGUCGCUAGGAAUGCUGAUACGGGCCGGUCUCAGCAACGUGAUGCAGUGCAGCCAGCAAGGCAUAUGUUGUCCGGGUUGGGUACUGUGCCGAGGGGUGCGCCGCCUGGGUCGCCUAGGCAGGGUUCGCUGCUGCUGUAGAGUCCAUCGCCAGCCACCCAGGGGGUUGCUGUUUCUCGGCCAGCCACCCCUGGGGCUGCUACCUUUUUGCCAGCCACACCGAGGGCAAUUACAGCGACUCCUCCUCCUGGCCUACUUCCGUCGUUGGAUGCUGCUGCGAGAUCCACCCCUGCUGCUGGUUUCAUGUCAGCCGAGAGAUCAACCCCUGUUGCUGCGGUUCCUAUCGCUACUAUGGCUGCAACCGGGGCAUCAUCUUUGCGGGUGUCAGGGCUGGAGGGUACUGGUCAGGGGCACCAUGGCGAGGUCGUUGCACCGCCGUCUGUUGAGCAGGUCAUAGCAUACGGAGGUAUUCAAAGUCCGCUGACUUCGGACAGGAGGUCCAGUCGGCGAAUUCAGAAUCAACCUGAUGCGGAUUAUUUACAGAUGGGACGUGCUAUGCGUGCGGCUAAAAUGAGAGAUGUCGAAACUGAGACAGGUAUGUCUUUCAGCAUUAACGAUUCUAUUCUUCAUUUUUCUCCUCAAGAUAUUCUAGAUAAGGCAGGUUCUAUUGGGGUUACAUUGGGGAACAAUGGCCGAGAAAUUUCGAAAUCUAUUAAUGAUCUAUUAGACUUAGAGGUCGAUAGAGCGUUAGACUUAGUACGAAAUUUAGCGGCAGUUAAACCAAUGCAAGAGUCUGAAGUUAACGAUCUAGGGGGACUGAAUUCUCUUUGUGAUAGUCUGGCCCCGUCAGUGGAUAUAGAGGAUGGUGCGGGCGAGGUUUUAGUUGGUCAAGGGAUGUGUGCCCAAUCUCAUAAGGCUGAGCCUCAAUUCUCUGGUUAUAUGGACCAGGAGUUGCUGGAAAAGCCGAAGCGUCCAUGGAGACGGAAAGUGUAUCCGGUCUCUGCGAUACGUAGAAGUGCUAGAUUUAAGAUUGCCAAAAAAAAUUAUGAUGAUUAAUGAGAGGAAUUUUUUGGAAUAGCAGAGGUCUUUGAGACUUGGCUAAAAGAAGAUUUCUAGCAGAGGCUACUUUAGAGCAUCACCUUGAUUUUAUCGCAGUGAUGGAGACAGGGAGGGAUAACUUUACGUCUCAUUUUUUAAGUUCUCUAUCAGCUGGGGUGGAUUUUGACUGGCACUGUCUCCCUCCAAGAGGAAGGUCCGGUGGGAUCUUACUUGGGGUCCGUUGUGACACUUUUCAAGUGCGGGAGGUGGUGUUUGGGGAGUUUGCAGUCAAAUUCAAGAUUAGAUCUAAGGAUGACGGGUUCCAAUGGGCUCUCGUUGCCGUCUAUGGCGUAGCACAGCCAGAUCUAAAGCCUGAUUUCCUAGCAGAUCUGGUCAGGAUUUGUGAUGACAAACUACCAUUGCUGGUAGGUGGAGAUUUUAAUAUUAUUAGGCGGGCUGAUGAAAAAAGUAGUGUUAAUUUUGAUGGAAGAUGGCCUUUCAUGUUUAACACAAUUAUUGAGAGCUUAGAUAUGAGGGAGACCGCUCUAUCAGGUAGGAAAUAUACCUGGGUGAAUGCUCUACAGAAUCAGACAUUUGAAAAGUUGGAUCGUGUCUUAACUAGUGUAGAGUGGGAGCAGAAGUUCCCUCUAGUAACUGUUAGAGAACUUCAACGCGCAAUCUCGGAUCAUACUCCUCUGUUGCUGGAUUCCGGUGAGGCUAGCCAUAUAGGAAACAAACAUGGAUUCUCUUUUGAAUCAAGUUGGUUCACAAGGGAGGGGUUCAUGGAUAUGGUCGAGAGGGAAUGGAAUACAGAGGUCAGGGGCGAAACCUCUAUAGAAAGAUGGCAGUAUAAGAUUAGACAUCUUAGACAGUAUUUGAGGGGCUGGUCUAAGAAUGUGUGUGGAAUAUAUAAAGAAGAGCAAGAUAAGCUCCUCAAACUUAUAGACAAUCUAGAUCGGAAGGCUGAGAGUUGUCUUCUGGAUGCUAACGAAAGGGAUCUCAAAUUCGAGGCCGGACAGCGCUUGCGUAUUCUCCUAAGAGAGGAGGAAAUGAAAUGGGCGCUUGAGCCAAAGUGAAGGCCAUAGUUCUUGGAGACAAUAACACUAAAUUUUUCCACUUGAUUGCAAAUGGCAAGCAUAGGAAAAAGAAAAUAGUGCAGCUUGAGCAAGAUGAGGGUACAAUACUAGGUCAUGAGAAUCUAAAAUUGUACAUCUCUAACUACUACAAACAUUUAUUUGGUGCUCCUGAGCAUAGCUUUGUGACUAUGGAUGAGCAAAAAGUGGCGGAUAUUCCUCAAGUUGGAGAGGCUGACAAUGAGAUUUUAUCCGCUCCUUUCUCAGAGAAAGAGGUGUUUGACGCGAUAGGGAAUAUGAAGAAUGGAAAAGCUCCCGGUCCAGAUGGGUUUCCGGCGGAGUUUUACAAGCACUGUUGGCAUAUUAUUAAGAAUGAUCUUAUGUCAAUGUUUGCUGAUCUUUUUAGUGGUCACCUUCAACUCUUCCAUUUGAAUUUUGGUACUAUUACACUCUUACCAAAGAAGGAAGGGGCCACGCGGAUUGAACAGUUUCGUCCGAUCUGUUUGUUGAAUGUUAGCUUCAAGAUUUUCACAAAGGUGGGAACAGAUAGGUUGACUAAGAUGGCCCAUUCGGUGGUACAAUCUACGCAAACAGCUUUUAUGCCAGGACGGAAUAUCCUUGAAGGAGUCGUUGUCUUGCAUGAAACUCUUCAUGAAAUGCACUCGAAGAAACUAGAUGGGGUUAUCUUUAAAGUGGAUUUCGAAAAAGCUUACGAUAAAGUCAAAUGGUCGUUUCUCCAGCAAACCCUACGUAUGAAGGGUUUCGAUGAGCUGUGGCGUAGGCACGUCGAUUGUUUUAUAAAGAAGGGAAGUGUGGGUGUCAAAGUGAAUGAUGAUGUGGGUCAUUUUUUCCAGACACUAAAGGGUCUCCGCCAAGGAGAUCCAAUGUCUCCCAUUUUAUUUAACAUUGUUGCUGAUAUGUUGGCACUGCUGAUUAAGCGGGCCAAUGAGAAGGACCUUGUAAGGGGCUUGAUCCCUCAUCUUGUUGAGGGGGGGAGUCUCCAUUUUACAAUAUGUGGAUGACACGAUUCUUUUUUUGGAGCAUGAUCUCAGUAAAGCCAGGAACCUCAAACUUAUCCUAUGCUUAUUUGAACAGCUAUUAGGGCUGAAGAUAAAUUUUCAUAAAAGUGAAUUGUUUUGCUUUGGAAAGGCCAAGGAUGAGCAGCUCACGUAUAAUCAAUUGUUUGGUUGUGCUAGCGGGAGUUUACCUUUUACUUAUUUAGGGAUCCCAAUUCAUCACAGAAAAUUAUCAAAUAAGGAUUGGAAAUGUAUCGAGGACCGUUUCGAAAAAAGUUGAGCUGUUGGAAGGGCGAGCUCUUAUCGUAUGGAGGAAGGUUGAUACUGGUUAAUUCAGUAUUAACAAGUAUGCCUAUGUUUCUCCUAUCCUUCUUUGAAGUACCUGUUGGGGUACGGAAAAGGUUGGAUUUCAAUCGAUCACGGUUUUUCUGGCAAAGUGAUGAGAUCAAGACUAAAUACAGACUCUCGAGAUGGGACAUCAUGUGUAGACCUAAGGAUCAAGGAGGUUUAGGGAUUGAAAAUUUAGAGAUUAAAAAUAAAUGUCUACUCAAUAAAUGGCUGUCUAGAUUAUCUAUGGAGACAAAGGGGUUGUGGGUACAAAUUCUGACGAAUAAAUACCUACAAAACAAGACUUUGGCGCAGGUUACAUUGAGACCAACUGAUUCACCGUUCUGGAAGGGGGUCAUGCGGUCUAAGAAUGCUUUUUUUCUCAGGUCUAAGUUUGUUAUUGGCAAUGGCCAAUCUACUAGAUUUUGGGAGGAUACUUGGUUGGGGGAGACGCCUUUAGCCAUGCAGUAUCCGCAACUCUACCAUAUUACACAAAGGCGUCAGGCGACUGUUGCGUCAAUUUUGCGCCAGGUUCCUCUAAAUAUUCAGUUAUGUAGAGCCUUAAUAGGUAACACAUGGUCAAGCUGGCUGCAUCUAGUGAGAAGGUUGUUGGAUAUUACCCUUACUGAGAACCCUGAUAGUGUUCGUUGGAAGUUGACCACUGAUGGAGUUUUCUCGGUAAAAUCUAUGUAUUUAGAUCUCAUAGAUUCUGUGUCCAUCCCGAAGUCCUUACAUAUUUGGAAGGUCAAAGUUCCACUUAGAAUUAAGAUCUUCAUGUGGUUUGUUCGCAAGGGGGUUAUUCUAACUAAGGAUAAUUUGGUCAAACGUAAAUGAAAAGGUAAUACUAGAUGCAGUUUUUGUGAGAACGAUGAAACAAUUAAACACCUCUUUCUGGACUGUCCUAUGGCUAAACUUCUAUGGCGAACACUUCUUAUUACUUUCAACAUUAAGCCACCCAAUAGUUUAAACACGUCAUUUGGGACGUGGUUAAGAGGGGUCGAUGAUAUAACUGCUAGCCUGAUCCGAGUAGGAUCAUGUGCACUUCUGUGGGCUACAUGAAACUGUAGAAAUGACUUGGUAUUUAACAAACAUCAACAUAUUCACUUUUUGCAGGUCAUUUUCAGGGUUAUUGCCUUGAUCCGCACAUGAUCAUUACUCACUCCUGUGGAAGCCAGGGAGCCUAUGGUUACUGGGUGUGUCCGAUGGAAGAUGGUAGCUCAGGUUAUCUUCAACCGUUUUGGAUGACGGCAUAUUAAUAGGAUAGGUGUUUAGUCAUCUAGGCUUAUUUCAAUGCCUCCCGGUUGUGGCGACGACGCCGUGUAUCUUUUUGUUAUUUUCUUCAUUUACUUAUCUGAAGACUCUUUGUACUUUUCGAGGAUUUGGUUUUGAAAUAAUAUAUGGCCGUAUGCAUCCUUCGAUGCCGAGGCCGGGGCUUUGCCUCCUUUUCAAAACAAAAAAAUUUAAUUUAUCCUUUCAUUGUUAACCCCUUUUUUGGACUGCAGUUAUUCUAACUCUCUUUUAAGUAAUGUAAUAAGGCAUAUCUUUUUCCUCCAUUUCGAGACAAAGUUCGGACCUAGCACAACUGUAACAUCCGCUCUACAUCGACUCACUCUAGAGAGACUAGUCUUGGCACCUUUUGCAGAACAUGAUUAGUGUCCUGACAUGGAGUAUUUUAGCAUAUAAUGGUCAACUCUCAAGCACAUAUCACUUCAAAUUGCAUUGCUGAAAAAGAACAUACACUUGCACGUUUUUCGAACUUUCACGCAACAAUAAAGUAACUCAAUGAAAUAUUAUGAUACACUCAAAAACAAUAAUAAGCACUCAACAAAAUAUCAACAGUUUUAUUUUGAUGGACGUAGUAGGACUGUAUCUGUUGUCCACUUGGCUACUUUAUCAACAUAUUUAUUUCAACCACCCUGAUCAACAGACAAUAUCUAAGUAUGUUAUGCUAAUUGAGUUAAAAUGGAUAAUCCUUAUUUUAUAAGAUGCAAGGAGUCGAAACAUAUUGUGAUUAGUUGCAUGCUACUAGCCUACUACAACACUAUUGAUCUUAGUUAAGAAGAUUAUCUUGUGAUUAGACGAAGUCUAGAUCAUCUAGCCAAGUAUGAAAAUAUUUAAAGGAGCGUGUGGAUACCUUUUCUUCUUUAAUAAAGGAAAAAAAAUUGUGUAUAUAUGCGAGUCUGAAAACAAAGAAAAGAAAGAUGGACAGCUUAUCACAGCUUCACAUAUGUCAUCUACUCCCUGCGUUCCUAAAUAUAAGUCUUUUAAAAGAUUUUACUAAAAGACUAUAUAUGAAGCAAAAUGAAUGAAUCUACAUUUUAAAUAUAUCUAUAUACAUUCUUUAGAAAGACUUAUAUUUAGGAACGGAGGGAGUAAUAGCUAAUUGAGGGGUUCAAAUAACUUUGUUUCGCAAUAAUGAUUGAAAAUCAACCUUUUGUUGAAAUCCGAAACUCUACGUACGGUAGACCUAUUUUUAUCAAGGGAAUCAACAAAGAUGAUCUGCUACAUAAAAAUGCGCGUAUGGUCACUCACGAGCCACAAGGACGAUGCUUGAGUAGUGAUGAGUGAGGUGCACGAUGAGAUUAAAUAUUCCAACUAGUGUAACCGAAAAGUAUAGUAAGUUAGACAUCGUUCUUGGUCCACGAAAAUAGUGGCGUGAUCGAUGACAUCUUGAUGCCGGCCGGAGACUAGGAUCUGGCUGUUUGAUAGGGUACCAAUUAAUUUAUACCCUCCACUUGGCCAACUUACUUCAUCACCAGUCGAUAACUGUAUACGCAUUGUUCCAUAUUCAUGCAUGCACGUGCUUACAGCCCAAGAGCAUUGGGUUUAGCUGGUGCUGUCUGAUCCGCUUGAACUCGUAGAAAAAGGGCCUUUGGCCUGGACCCUUUAGUCCCAGCCUGUCUUUCGGUCGGAACUAAAAGCCGGCCACGUCAUCCCAAAUUAUCAGUUUAACCCGCUUGGCCACCAUUUAUAUCAUUAAAAAACCUCAAAUUUGUAGCGGGGUGAGUUUACAUGUUACCUUGGAUCGCCAUUGUUUUUUUGGCCCUGCGUGUAACGACGAUGGCCGGAGUAGGCUCGUGCAGAUUAGUCCUCCUCUUGGUAAUUAAGGAGUAUAUAUCCACUAGCUAGUGUCUGACAUUCAGAACCUCCACUCGAUGGCCAGAGUAUUUGAUAUUUAUACUCUCCUCUUGGUAAUUAAGGAGUGCAUAUCCACUAGCUAGUGAUCUAAACGUUUCUAUAUUAAUUUAUGGAGGAAAUAUUUAAUAAGGUUAUUACCCAACAUUACAGGCGCCAUCCGAUAAACCAUAUCACUUUUUUUUGCGAGGACCUAAACCAUAUUCAAAAUGCAGAAUUACUGGCACGUGGUGUAGUUUACGGAUCGAGCCUCCUCCUUCGUGGGCACCAUAGUAGUCAUGCAAGACAUCGUAGUUAUAUAGUGGUCAAGUGUGAGUUAUGAUUGCUUGUAUAUUUUUUAUGCGAUUUAUGAGUCAAUAAAAGUGCUUUUAUUGAGAAAUGUAUCUAUAUUGAUUAUUGUUGAACCUGCCAUUAAUGUAACUAUUUACACAUGUGCGGGGCCAUGCCGUCCAACACGAGGAGCUUCAAAGCGUAUGUGUGGGAGGGGAGUGCGUCGAUGCUGCAAUGACGAACUGCUCUUGGUCGGCGUCCAGCCGGUGUUCCUCACCGGCCAGACCGAGGACCAUAGGGACAUCAUCGUCACCAACCUCCACCGCCCGAGUUCAAGGGCUCCACGGUAACCUACAAGUCUCAUGAGAGGCAGAAGUUGCCGACGACCUGGUAUGUCAUCGUGGGCACCAUUGAUGACCAAGGGAACGACAUCCUGGGGGUAUCCGGUGGGGGGCACACCUUCAAGUUGCCCGACCACAACGGCUAGGCUACAUAGAGAUCGGCCAUGCCUUGAUUGAUUUCUUGAGUAAGCUCUAUGCUUUCAAUUGUAUGCAUGUUUAGUAAACAAUCCCUCCCUAGUUGUUGCUUUGUUCAUUUUCAUUGUCGAGAACUUGAGAUCAAUAGUUAGUAUUUAUAAGACGUGUUACGCUAAAAGUUGCAUGCAACAUAAUCAAUGGUUUGUUGGUUUUAUUGUUUCUCUCUAUUACGAGAUCCAUGGGCUAUAUUGUUGUUUGAUGUAUUGUAAUUCUUAACUUGGAUCUGUAAUAUUGAUCAUGGUGUACUUUUUAACUAAAGAUUGUUGAUGGUGGAAUUAGUAUGAAAGGUACAUAGUGCUGUCACACAUAGGGUGUCACUACUCCCAUUUUGGCCCAACAGAAGGAAGGGUCAUCAUUUACGGGUCACCAGACUGCGUUAGUAUAGAGGCAACAAGGUAUUUUAACCAUGCCGAACAUCAUUAUUGUGAAGAUUAAAAAUGAGGCGGCAACUUGGGUCAAUUUUUGGGGUGGAGGAUUUGAGAAACACUAUGCCCCGUGAGAAACUCCGCUAUAUUAUUUAAGUCUUUCGUUUUUAGCCUCUCUUUUUUCGGCAGCGGUUCUUCCAACUCUCCUAGUAAAUAGAAAGGGGGAAAGAAAAUCUUUUGCCUCCAUUUUGAAAAAGAAAAGGUUGAGACUAACAUCCCUUUCCAUCGACCCACUCUAGAGAGUGUCUCCAACCUUGUUUUCUUGGCCCUUUUGCAUGACAUGAGUAGUGUCCUAACAUGGACUCCUUGAUGUGUAACGCUCAGCUCUCCUGACCAAAUCGCUUAGAAUUACAUCACACGCAAAAGUUAUAUACUUUUGCAUGUUUUUCGCACGUCAAUGCAACAUUAAAAAUUUCAAUGAAACAUUAUGAUACAUUUUGAAACAAAAAAGAACUCAGCAAAACAUACUGUGGAAAUAGAAAAUUUUUGCCAACAACUAAAAAAACGCAGUCAUCAAUUUAGCCGCAACAAAAAUAAGAUGUUAGAAGUCAGAACAUCUUGUGCAUGAUUAUAUGCUAUAGGACUAUUCAUUAGAGAAACUAGUUGGGUAAAACUUUCUCCUUUUUCCGAAUCUCCUUUUUAAUGUGGGGAAAAAGCUAAUGCAUUGUGGUUUAAAGUAAAUAUUACAUCGGCCUGGGAAAUUUAAAAUGAAUCUAGACUGGACGGCUACAAAGAGAACCAUAAAAGUAUUCAAGCACGUCAGAAGAAAAGGAAAGAUAAAAUUCAAAAAAGAAAAGAGAAAAGGAAAGAUGAACAACCUAUCACUUGCCUCAUAUCUUUACCUAAUAAUAAAGAGGCUAUUGCUUCCGUCGAAAAACCCACCGCUGCCGUUUUUUAAAAAGCCCCCUGUCUUUUAGGUAAUUAAACCCGCAGUACCUUUUUAUGUGUUACGAACAUGAAAACGUUUCAUUUUUGCAGGGAGCCUCCCAUGGCAUUGGAUAAGAGAAACGCAUCUGGGCUGACGAAAACGCACGAGAGGGCUAUCGCUUCUGCCCUCAUAAUCCCACAUCGAUACUUCACAGAUAAUUUCAUCACUUUAUAUACAUGCGCCUUGGUGAUUUUACAAGAGGCAACGGAAAUCAAGAGAGGAACAAAUUCGAGAAGAAGAAAUUGAGAUGACGCAAACAGAGGUGGAGCUGCGAGACAGAGGGGGCUCGGGGCGAAGGAAAGGGUCGGGCGCCGGCGAUGCAUACGUGGAGGUGGGGGCGUCGGGGUUAGAGGAUUCAGGCAACCGGCGGGGUAAGUCUUGCCGGAGACUGGCCCCAUAGGCCGACCUCGCAGCAGCACACCAUGGGAGGUGGUCGCGAGGUGCAGAGGUGGGAGGCGGUGGAGGAGCGGAGGAGGAGGCGAGUGCGGGCGCCAUUGGAAGGGGGGAGUCGGGGAGAUUGGGGAUCCUGUGGGGCUCUCUCCCCUAGCGGCGCGAGGUGGAGGAGAGGAGGGGGGCUGGGGAUCGGGCUAGGUUAGGGGAUUUAGGAGUGGGUAAGGCUAUGCCUUGGCACGCCUAAUGGGUUGUGCACUACUACUCAUCUCUCUUUCCUUUAAUUUCUUUAUCUAAAUUCUUUAAUUAAAAAUAUGUGGUAUUAUUUUUUUUCCGUUGCAACGCACGGGUCCUUUUGCUAGUAUCAUCUAACAAAUCGAGGGGUUCGCAUAGAUCUGCUUCGCCACAUAAUAAUAUAAUCAUGACAAAAGGCUACCUUCUGGUGAAAGCAGAAGCUCUGCAAUAAAGCUGCAAUCGUAGACCUAUUUUAUGAAGGGAACCAACAAAUCGAGCUGCACAAUCCAAUUAAAUACUAAUUCCUCCGUUCCUAAAUAUAAGAUUUUUUAAAGAUUAUAUUAUGAACUACAUAAAAAGAAAAAUGAAUGAAUCUAUAUUUUAAAAUAUGUUUAUAUACAUUUGUAUGUAGUUCAUAGUUAAAUCUAUAAAAGGUCUUAUAUUUAAAAACAGAGGGAGUAUAAGUACUGAGUAAGUUUGACAUUUGUUCUUGGUCCAACAAAACAGUCGUGUGACCCAUGACGAAGCGGCGAUGCCGGAGUUGGAUCUCACUGUCUGAUAUUUAUCGAUUUGUGCCCUCCACUUGGCCAGCUUAAUUGAUCACCAGUCUCUUUCAUUGACAAUUAGUGCUGCUCAUACACGUGCGUUGCAUACAGAUGAUAUAUUGGGUUUAGGUACGGCUGUCUGAUCCACUUGGCCACCUUCUCACUAGAAAGCUCAAGUUUGCAGCGACGAGUUUGCAUGUUACUACAUUGGAUCGCCGUUGUUUAGCCCUGCGUGUGUGAUGAGGGGCGGAGACCCGGAGCAGACCCGUGCAGAUUCGUAUUCCCUUGGUUAUGUUUUAUUCUGUAUAUUAGGUUUGUAUAAUGUAAAACCUAAAUUUGCUUCGCCACAUAAUAUAAAAUAAUAUAAUCAUGACAAAGGCUACCUUCUGGUGAAAGCAGAAGCUCUGCAAUCAAGCUGCAAUCGUAGACCUAUUUUAUGGAGGGAACCAACAAAUCGAGCUGCACAAUCAAAUUAAAUACUACUCCCUCCCUUUUUAAAUAUAAAAACUUUUAAAAAUUAUACUAUGAACUAUAUAAGAAACGGAAUGAGUGAAUCAAUACUCUAAAAUACUCCCUCCGUUCUAAAAUAGGUGUCUUAACCUUAAUACAAUUUUGUACUAGAUCUAGUACAAAGUUGAGACAAUUAUUUUAAGACAGAGAGAGUAUGUCUAUAUAUAUUUAUAUGUAGUUUAUGUUGGCUUUGGAUCCGUAGAUUAAUUCACCCAGUAGCUACCACAUACGUGCAAGCUAGCCUCUAAGCUAGCAAGCAGGCACACAAGUGGAUGGAUAUCCAAUUCGUAGAAAUAGAACGACGUACGACGAGCUAGCUAACUGAUUCGAUCGUCUUGACUGCUCGGAAUGUAACUCGUUGAAAAACUGAUCGAUGGAUUGCUAACAGGCUCGUAUCGAGCCUGGUACUUUUUUAUUGCGUUUUGAUCUCUGGUGUUACAAGCAACAUCUCUAGGAUGCCUUUUAUACACAUCCACAAGGAACUAUGAAAAUAGACUAGGACUAGGUAUCCUAAUACUACUAGAACUCGGUUUGAUUUUCUUUCCUAAUCCUAUGUGUACAAGGCAACGUGAUUAACUCACAUUCACCCCCUAAUCACGAUGUCCUUACUUCCGACCUGGGUCCCAAACACGAUUGCUGCUUCUCAUAAAUGUUAUCAUCGACAUGGCCUUUGUCGUCCCUUGCAACAUUUUAUGGACCGUCUUUACUGUCGUCGGCUCGUCCGUAGCUCGAUGACAACACUCCUUUUUGGUCGUGUCUUCAAUCUUCAUCUCUUCUUCGGUGCUUUGUAGACUGUCCUUCGGAUCAUCGAGGGUACAUCUUUUGAACCUGAGCGUGACCAUACUUUGGUCUAACUUUGAAUUUCAAGCUCUUGGCGCUUGCAUCAGCCCGUAACUUUGAACCACAAGGAAGAAGUACUUCUUUCCUCCGUGAGUUGCUGGGGUGAUAGGGCCACAUAGAUCACCAUGGAGCAGCUAGAGUGCAUCACUUGCACGAUAGGUAGACUGAGCAGGGAACGGCCUGCGGUGCUGUUUUCCAACCAAGCACCCGUCACAUACUCGAUCAACAUGGUCGAUAACUGGCAUCCCGGAUACCAUCUCCAUCUUUGACAUCUUCUUCAAGGCGUAGAAGUUAACAUGUCCGAAUCAUCAUCACUCUUGGCGAGCCAACACUCCAGUUGAGAUUGAUCAAGGUUGAGGAUAUAGAGCCUGUUCCGUGUGCGAGUAACACGAGCUAGCACGUUUCGGAGGUUGUCGAAGAUCGUCAUUACUCCGUUAUCGAUACCCACCUUGCAUCCAUUCUCGUCAAGCUUCCCAAUAAAGAUGAUGUUGUUGUGAAGCCGUGGGAUGUAGUACACUCCGGUAAGUAUGCGAUGUUCGCCUGUGAGACCCUCGAAGAGGACAGAUCCUUGCCCACAAAUCUCCACAUUUGAACCAUCACCGAACUUGACUGAGCCUUCAACAUCGUAUUCCAGCUCGAGGAAUUUCUCCUUGCACCCCGUCAUGUGGUUACUGGCACCCGUGUCGAGAUACCACAACACAUUCUGAUCACCAGCUAACUUCGGUGUCACUUUGUUUUCAUGAAGUAGCACCUUCCGGCUUGGUUUCACAACCACCGUUUCAGCGAGAUCACAAACUUCGGCCAUCAGAAGACCUGGACCUUCGUCUUCCUCCUUUGCCAAAUUUGCCUUGAUCUCUCGCUUGUCAUGCUCCGGACAAUCCUUUGCAAAGUGACCCAUCUCGUUGCAGUUAUAGCACUUGACCUCGGACAUAUCCAAGUUCCGUUGCUUCCGCCCUUUAGAUCGGUCAGCCUUACCACGACCUUGUAGCUUGCCUUUUCCUUUGCCUUCUCCGGUUUGUCCGCCGCGCGUUGUGCUGCUUGAGCCUUCGUUGCCAUCACACCUUCCUUUGCUACUUGGGGACUCCCAAUCUGCACGUGAGUACAUGAGUUGGUCACUACCUCCUCCGUUGCCUUCCCGACAACUACGAGAAUUCUCUUCCCACGUCCGCAGGCGUCCGAUCGCCUCCGUUAUGGUCAUGUCGUCGAUGUCGUAAAGCUGCUCGAGCGUGCCAAUGAUGUACGUGAAUUUUUUAGUCACCGAACUGAAAAAUUUCUCCACAAUCUCGGUCUCCUCGAGCUUUGCACCAAGCGCGCGGAUCUCUCCCACCAAAGUAGUAAGACGCAUGGCAUAGUCGUUCACCGAUUCAGUUUUCUCCAUCUGCAACUUGUGAAAUUGGCGCUUCAGCACUUGUGCCCGAGCCUUGGUGACGCGAUCUUCUCCGAUCCUCAUCUCGUUGAGUGCGUUCCACGCCUCUCUUGCCGUCUCGAACUCCACCAAUGUCAUCAGCACGGAAUCCGGCACAGACUGGGCUAUGGCGGCCAUGGCACCUUCGUCGCGCUCCUCGUCGACGUCGUCGUCCGUGAUGGCCUCCCACACUCGAAGAGAUCGGAGAAUAAUCUUCAUCUUCACCGCCCACACGUCAUAGUUGGCAUCGGUGAGCAUCGGGUACUGGAUGGGGAUGUUGCGAUGCGCCUGGACGUUGGCGCUGCUCGUUCCUCCAUCACUCGUUGCUGACUUGUCGUCCUUCUUCACCUUGUCGUCGUUCUUGUUCGCCUUGGCACCGCCUUUGCCGGAUUUGACCGACUCAGCGUCGCUGUCCGUCAUCGUAGAUCGUAGAUCGUCGAGGCUCUGAUACCAAUUGUUGGCUCUGGAUCUGUAGAUCAAUUCACCCAGCAGCUACCACGUACGUGCAAGCUAGCCUCUAAGCUAGCAAGCAGGCACACAGGUGGAUGGAUAUCCAAUAGAACGACGACGAGCUAGCUGACUGAUUCGAUCGUCUUGACUGCUUGGAACGUAACUCGGUGAAAAACUGAUCGAUGGAUUGCUAACAGGCUCGUAUCGAGCCUGGUACUUUUUGUAUUGCGUUUUGAUCUCUGGUGUUAUAAGCAACAUCCCUAGGGUGUCUUUUAUACACAUCCACAAGGGACUAUGAAAAUAGACUAGGACUAGGUAUCCUAAUACUACUAGGACUCGGUUUGACUAUCUUUCUUAAUCCUAUGUGUACAAGGCAACGUGAUUAACUCACAGUUCAUAGUUGAAUCUUUAAAAGGGCUUAUAUUUAAGAACGAAGGGAGUAUAAGUAGUGAGUAAGUUUGGGACACGCCGUUUUGGCUCCCGGACUCAGAUGAGCCCGAGCGUAAACAGUACGCCAGUUUGGGGUGCAAAAAAUGUUCCAAAAAAUCAAAAAAAAUUGUGAUGCAAGAUGCUCCUAUGUGUGAACUCUCUGUAAAAUUUUGUGAAGUUUGGACAUACGAGGAGCUCACUGCAAAAAAGACGAAAUUCAGAUGUGUGAGAAACUUUUGAAAAUCACACUAUUCAUGCCUGAUUUUGUCUUUUUUGCUGCAAACUCUUCAAAUGUCCAAACUUCAUAAAAUUUUACAGAGUUCACACAUCGAAGCAUCUUGCAUCAUAAAAAAAUAUUUUUUUUAAACUUUUUUGUAUUCCAAACCGUUGUACUGUUCACCGGGCUCAUACGAGCCCGGGCUCACAGAUGGAUUACCGGUAAGUUUGACAUUUGUUCUUGGUCCAACAAAACAAUGGUGUGAUCGAUGACCAAGCGGCGAUGCCGGAGUUGGAUCUCGCUGUGUGAUAUUUAUCGAUUUGUGCCCUCCACUUGGCCAGCUUAAUUGAUCGCCAGUCUCCUUCAUUGACAAUUAGUGCUGCUCAUACACAUGCGUUGCAUACAAAUGAUAUAUUGGGUUUAGGUACGGCUGUCUGAUCCACCUGGCCACCUUCUCACUAGAAAAGCUCAAGUUUGCAGCGACGAGUUUGCAUGUUACUACUCCCUGUGUACCGAAAUAUAAGACCUUUAAGAAAAAUUCCGACCAGAUGAAAAUGUGGACAAUUGACCAGGUUACCCCCCACCUCCGGCAGCUCGCUAAUUUCAAAUCAACCCAGAUCCAGUCGCCCCCCACCUCCGGCCAGCUCGCUAAUAACCCAGAUCUCACUACUCUGCUUGUCCGCUCCCUCCUCUGCCCCAGCUUGUCCGCUCCCUCCUCUGCCCCAGCUUGUGCGGCCCCUCCUCUGCCCCUACCUCCUCUGCCCAGCUCGUCUGCUAGCUACCAGCAGCUUCUCCAGUAGCCAGCGGCAGCAGCUCCUCCGGCAGCUAGCAGUAGAUCCAGCAGCUCCUCCACCAGCCAAUAGGAACUCCAGCAGCUCCUCCACCAGCUAGCACGAGCUCCAGCAGCUCCUCCACCAGACACCAGCACCAGCUCAUCCACCAGCCAGCGGCAGCCCCUCUGUCUGCCGGCAGAAGCAGCUCUUCCGCCUCUGCACUCCCAGCUGCCUCAACGAGGUCCUCUCCCAGUGAUGCACCCAUCGCCCAACAGAUCGCCGGAGGUUUUUCUUUUGAUCCAGGGUGCAGAUCGCCACAGGAGGUCCUAGUGGUGUUGGAUCCUGCUUAUCCCGUCUCCUGCAAACCAAAAAAGCAGGACAAUUAGAGGGUAUUUAUCACAACUUAGCAACAGUUGAACAGAAAACAGUUUAACAACAGCAGCAAAAAUUUUAGCGAGAUCAACAACAUCAGUAGCAGCAUCAAGACAUAGCAACAAUAGCAGCAAUAGGGAGACAUAGAAGUAGCGACAUGGAGUGGCAGCAGGAGUUCAUCAAAAUCAAUAGGGAGUAGCAGCAGCAGGAGUUCAUCACAAUCAAAAUCAACAGGGAGUGGCAACAACAUGGAAUUUGACCUCAACUGUACUCCGCCCGAAGAAGAUGAGAUCAGUCAAAAUGAGAUCAACAUGGAGGACUCACAGGGAGGCAAUGAUCAUGUUGAAGAUGAGAUCAACAUGGAGGACUCACAGAGAGGCAAUGAUCCUGGUGAACAUGAUAUGAACAUGGAGCAAAUAAGGGGAGGCAAUGAUCCCCACGAAGAUGAUAACAGUAAGCACAAUAUACUCAUUUAGCAGUAACAGUGUCUCAUUUACCAAGUUUUUGAAAAUGAACAGCAAGUCUAGUUUCUGAAGAUGAACAGUAACUCCACUUUCUAGAAAUAAACAGUAAUAGUAACUCAUUUGAUCAUUUGAACAUGUGACCAUUUAAAUAUUUUAUCAAUUUAUCAUUUGAUAAUUUGAGUAGGACUAAUAUUUUUUCAUUGUUGUGUUUCUUGUUGCAGUUCUUGAGCAAGGAGUUAGAAAGAGGAAAACUCUGAGUGACCAACAAAAAUAUGCUGCUUAUGUGGCAUUGCACAUAUUAUGUAUGAGUAGAGGUGGAAAGUUCAAGAUAACGGAUAAGAAAAACCUUGCACAUUUUUUUAAUGUAGAAUUGAGGAGUAUACAAAGAGUUUGGCAGAAGGCGAUGAAGCAAAUUUCAGAAGGUUUCGAGGUGGAUGUUUCCAACCAGAAAAAAGGAAAUGUGGAAGAAAACCAAAGGACAUCAACCUAGAGAAAAUCCCUACAAUACCACUCAAUAGUAGGUCUACUAUCAGAUCAUUAGCCUGGCAACUGGGAUGUAGCCCUACCACUCUCCACAGGAAUUCAAAAUGAAGUUGAUAAAGAGGCAUACAAACUGUGUCAAGCCAGCUCUAAAGGAAAAGAAUAAGAAGGAUAGAAUGAAAUUUUGCUUGUCAAUGCUUGAUGAGGCAACAACAAAAACUGCAAGGCCUAAGUUCAAGACUAUGCAUAAUGUUGUACAUAUUGAUGAGAAGUGGUUUACGAUGACCAAGAAGAAUAAAACUUAUUAUCUGCUGGAUGGGGAGGAAGAGCCUACAAGGCCUAUACAUGGCAACUGUAUUGGCAAGGUUAUGUUCUUGACGGGCGUAGCUAGGCCACGGUGGGAUAGUGAAGGAAAUGUGACCUUCUCUGGAAAAACCGAUGAACUCACGAUAAACUGCGUGCGCUCUUUGUCCCAGUUUCAGUUCCCUUGUUCUUGCUUUUCUAUAUCCCGAUGAACUCACGAAUCCAUGAUCCAUGGUCAAUCCCCAAUAUAUAUACUCAAGCAAUAUACUCUCUCAGCAGUAUAUAAUCAAUCAUACAGGAAAGAGUAUCACUCUCUCAGCAGAAUACAUACUCACGAAUCCAUGGUCAAUAGCAGCAUAUACUCCGUGUGGGGAUUAGUCUAGCUCGUAAGCCACGGGUCCAAAUCAAGCAAUAUAUCUACACUAGAAUCUGUAGCAGAGUACACAUCUGACAAAACCGAGAGAUGUGGAGAGGAAGGGGGUAAGAGACGGAAGGGUACCUGGGUGAGGUCGCUGAGGUGGAAGCAGCCGGUGGAGCGGUCGAGGUCGCCGCUAGGGUGUCGCCGGUGCACUGGAGCUCUGCCAACUCGUCCCCAACUCGACGCCCAGCUCGACGCCCAGUCCGGCGCCCAGCUCGAUGCCCAGGUCGACGCCGUCAUUGCUCGGGCUCGGCUUCAGCGCCUCCUUCACCCUGUCCUUGCUCGCCCAGCUCGUCGGCUUCUUGGUCUCGACGAGGCUCCCGCUGAAGUACUCCACCCCCGCCGCCGCAUAGACGAGCAACCCAACUGAGGGCGCCCGCAGCUCCCGCUGAAGUGAUCUGCUAUGUCCAGCACCACUCCGUCAUCCAUAUCCAACAUCGGCGCCCACACCAGCUCUGUCGAUGCAAAACAAACACAUUUUUGACCUUUGAGUGGGAAAGGAAGGAGAGGAAGCACGCAGUGGGAAAGGAAGGAGACAACACACGCGGUGGGCUGUGGGAGGAAGAACGCGGUGGGCUGUAGGAGGAAGAACGGUGGGCUACGGUGGCCGGCGACGACGUAGAGAGGCGACGAGGGAGGGGAAUGAGAGGGUGUGAGAUCUGGGCAGCGAGUGGAUGAGAAUGGGCAGGUGGGGGCAUUUUCGGAAACUCGGAAAGUUUCGUAGUGUCGCGAGAUUUACACUAGAAUCGCUAAAACGUCUUAUAUUUCGGUACAGAGGGAGUACAUUGGAGCAGACCUGUGCAGAUUCGUACUCCCUUCGUUUUUAUUUAUUCUGUAUAUCAGGUUUAUAUAAUGUCAAACCUAAAUCCUUUUAACAAAUUUGUAGAAAAAUAUAUCAACAUAAUCCCUUCAUUUCACAAUUUAGCGCUCGUUCGUGUGCUUUUCGAGAUCUAAGUUUGACCAUACCUUUAAACAAGAAGACCGAUUGCUAUGGGAGCAAAAAUUGAAUCACUGAAUUUGUAUUGAAAUUAAAUACUGAAUUUGUAUCGAAAAUAUAAAUUCAUUGGUAUAAUUUCUGUUGCCACCGCAGUCGGUCUCGUUGGUGAAAUUUAUGGUCAAACUUAGACCUCAAAAAACGCGAGCGCACUACAUUGUGGAACGGAGGGAGUAUACACCAUCAAAUCAAUAUCAUUGGAUUCAUCAUUUCAUAUAUUUUCACAUCAUAUAAAUUUAUUAUUGUAAAUGUUCAUAUCGUUUUCUACAAAUUUCAUCAUACUUUAGAUAGUUUGACUUCAGACAAAACUAAUAUGAGGAGUAAAUAAAAUCAGAGGGGUACCACUCCUAGUAAUUAAUGUGUAUAUCCACUAGCUGCUGAUUGACAUUCAAAUUCUCCACUUGACGAUGGCCAGAGUAUCUGAUAUUCAAACUCUCCACUUGGCCACCUUAUUUCUUCUCCCCAAAUGAGCUAUGAACUGCUCAUUCAUCCAACAUUAAAAUCACUGUGAUGAAACUCUACUCUUUCAGUUUCAUAAUUAGUGCAUAUAGUUUUUCCCCAAAAAACUAAACUUUGACAAAGAUUAUAAAUAAAAAGUCUAUAUCUAGCACAUUGAAUACAUACCAAUAGAUUCGUCAAAAAUAUUUGCAUAUAUUAUAUGAUGGUAUUGUGGAUAUACAUAGAGUUAUCUAUAAACUUGGUCAGAUUUUACAAUGUUUGACUUUUCUAUAAAACCAAUAUGCACUACACUAGGGGAUGGAGGGAGUAUCGUAUGAAAUAUUAUGUGGAAUUAUUCCGUUUCAGACAAUGUUUGGUAUCAAACACAACAGGUACAAUGUUCUAUAGUUUCUCCAAUGUGCAGAAUUAUUAGUUGAAUUGGCAAUUAUUUACAGGAGGGGAGUGCGCUGGUGUGACCGAAAACUAAGUGGAUCGAUGUAUAACAAGCUUCUUUUGGUCGGCAUCAAGACGGUGUUCCUCAUUGUCCGAAUCGAGGACCGGAGUGCAGUAAAUUUUACCAAUCUAUGAUGCGCUCUGGGUGGAUGAAACUGCUCCAAAAGUUGCCCGAGUUCAACGACUCUGUGGUGACCUACGAAUCCGGCGAGCGGCAGAAGUUGCAAGACGUCAGGUAUGAUAUCGUAGGCAACAAUAGUGACCAGUGGAGUGACAUCCUCGACACACCCAAGGGCACCCGCACCUUUAAGCUUCCCUACCCGAUGUACUAAAUCGGCUAGGUUGAAUGCUAGCUAAUCGUCCACGAAUAAGCUCCAUGUUGUUCACUAUCCAUGCUUUGUGAUUACCUUUUUUCCGGGCAUGCUUCCUCAAUACUAAUCCACUAUUACUGCUAGUUUUCUAAUUUCUAUUGAGAAAUCUAUUGCUGCUUGGUUAAAUUCCAUAGUUGGGACCUUGAGUCAGUUACUAGUAUUAAUAAGGUAUGCUACAAAGAAAUUGCAUCUUGCAUAAUCAAUGAAUCGAUGCUCCAUUUUUCCUUGAUUAUAUAAUAUAUGUAGUUUCUAUUUUACACUUUGAUUUAUUUAUUUUUUACUUUUAAUAUUUCCUUUUUUUUCAUUUUCUAGUUUUAUGUUUUAUUUUUUUAUUUGAUCUCCCUUAUGUAUUUAUUUUCUUAUUUUAUUCUUUAGAAUGCUUUCUAUUUGUAAAAAAUAAUGAAUUUUUCCAUACCCUAAUAGUUAAAAACAAUUCCGGGAUAUUAAAAUUACGAUGAACAAGGUCCUAAUAUACGUCGAGAUUUUCCCAAAUACCUGAUGAAUAGUUUUUAUAUGUUUAAGUACAUUUAUAAUUUUGUAAUUACACCAUCAAAUUUAAAUAUAUUUUAAAUAUUUGUUGAAUGCACAAAAAGCAUUUACUAAAUAAUUCGGAACAUUUGCUAUUACAUUGUGAACAUUUCUAGAAUACACAUUGAACAGUUUCCAAACCAUGAUGACUUUUCUAAAUAUGCAUUAUAAAAUUUUCAGUUACACGAACUAAACUGUUUUACCCUGAAUUAUUAUUAUUUUUAAAUUUGUUUUUUCUUAGAAUUAUAAAUAAAAUUAAAUUGAAGUGUUUCAGAGUAUAAAGGACAGAACGGGUAAAAACAAUGACAGAAAAAAUAAAAAUUGCAUUGGGUCGGGUCAUUGUGGAAUACUAUGGGCGAGCCCAAAGGAGUGUUCAUUACUGGUGAAUUAUAGUAGCAACGUGAGGGAAAGUGUGCUUCUCAGCCCGAGCUCAAAUGAGCUCUGGUGAACAGUAAAAUCCAAAAAUAAUUAAAAAAAUAUGAAAUUGUUUGGUGAAAGAAAUUGAAAAUAGUCGUAACUGCCUCCAAAAUUGUAUUAUGAAAUAACAUUUAUUGAAGCCAUGGAGAAAACAAAAUCGAUACUCCAAAAUGCUUUUGAAAUUAGUAUUUUCAGAGUAUCGAUUUUGUUUUUUUGCCACAUGUCACACAAAUGUGAUUUUCUGAUGAAAUCUUGCAAGAUAUUAGAACUUUUGCCAAUGUUUAUCACAAAAAAAAAUAGAUUUUUCUGGAUUUUUUUAAUUUAGUUUUGAUUUUACUGUUCAUCAAAGCUCAUUUGAGCUCGGGCUGAGAAACUCCACAUCCCAACGUGAGCGCCUAUUUGGUGUCGUGCUCAUUUCUGGUAGCCGACAAACUGAGUGGUUUUGUGCGUGACGUAAAAGACACAAAACAAUCAGGGCACUUCGAAGGAAUCAACGUUGUGUCCUUUCACAGGGAAUGCGUGAUGCUAGUUGCUGGCCACUCGUGCCAACAAUUUUUGCUAAUAGAAACACAACAACAAUGUGCAGGAAAUUACUGCAGCGGUGAAUUCCAAAUAUUUUCUAAAGUACACAAAUAUUUCAUCAAAUCUGAACGUUUUUUGAAAAAUCACAGUAUUUUUAAGAUGCCCAAUAUUUUUUUUAACUUUUCAGAAUAUUUUAAAUUUCAAACUUUUUUUUUAAAUUGCCAAACAUGUUUUGAAUUUGUGGACAAAACUUUUGAACAGAGAAACAGUUUUACAACAUCUGAAACCUUUUUUGGAACGCAAUAAGUUUUUCCAAAUUUCCAAGCAUUUACAGAAAAUGGAACAUAUAUUGACCAUUUCCAAACAUUUUUCAAAAACAUGAAUACUUUUUGAUUUAUGAACAUCAUUUCAAAACAGGAACAUUUUUUGAUAAUUCUGAACUAUGUUAGAAAAUGCGAACAAUUUUUGGACGUUUGUUGAGAACCCAAUCAUUUUUAGAAGAAAAACAAUUAUUAAAGUUUCAGACAUUUUUUUACUUGUGAAGUAAUGACCAAAGAAAACCAUAAAAUGUAAAACAACCGAAAAUAAGGAAAAAAGGAAAGAAAAAGUUGAAAAAAAUAAAAAUAUGAAUAAUAAAAAAUAAUAAAUUCUGGAAAGCAGUGAAAAAUAAAUCACAAAACGGAGACCAGUUUAUACGUCCUGCUGCUAUAUGACAAAGUAAAAAAUCUAAAAAGAAAAUCCCACAACAAAAGCUAUUUGACAUACCGAGCGUCAUAUAGAAAAUUCAAACAACAACCACCACAGAACGCUGAUACAGAUGACGGGCAGGUGGAUGUUUCUCAGAAUCAGAUUUUGAAGAAUCAUGAGGCGAAAAGAACUGGUGCCUGCAAUCGGCCGUGGCAUGUACACAGGUGCUAGUAAUGAUAUAAAUCACGGAUAUUGAUUUUGAAGGUCGAGCUCCAUGGAGGUCUUUGAAUGCAAAAUUCAAAAUUCAUGAAAAUAUUUUUUUUUUAUAUUUCGAAAAAUUCCGUAACAAAUACAGAGAUAGAUGAAGGCAUAAUACACAAGUGUGUAAAUUUUUAGGACCAAAUACGUUGAAAUAAGGCUGUACAAAAAAGGCAAAUCUGAGGUUGUUUAACACAUGAUACUAUUCAUCCUCUCGGAACAUGAUUUUAUAUUUUUAUACAGGUUGCAUUUCAACGUAUUUCAUCCUUGUUUAGUUUUAUAAUUGUUUUCAAAAAAUCUGAGGAUGAGGCAUAUGUCUCACAUCCUUGUUUAGUUGUAUAAUUGUUGUAAGAUUUUUUUUUUAAUUUUGAACUUUUCAAAAAAUCGGCCUCGGCCAAAACGCCUUUCUCUAUAAAUCGUGAUUUGUAUACUGGUAAGAAGAAUGAAGCAAUGCAUAUUCAACUAAACAAACUACAUAUUGUCUUGAAUUCACUCAUUUGGAAUCUAGCUAGAAAGGGUGCUUUUUAGGUGCCCAGAUUUUUUAAUUUUUUUGAGGGAAGUGACGAGGUUCUUGGGAAGAAAAGAUUUAACAGAUUCAUUGGUUUUCACAAAGAGAGCAAAUCAAUAUGAGCGCAGAAGCAAUCGAGUUUUGCCAUUAUUAAGCAACAACAUGACAUACAUGAUACAACUAGAGGUACAUAUAGCUAAAUUAGCGGAAGCCCUUUGUAUUGGUACUGCUCGCCGAGCUCCGCGAGCAGAUCGUUUUCCGCCUUGAGUAUGUCGCCCAUGUUGUCCAGCAGGAGGUACUUGUCCAGCGAGAAGCCCGACUCCGGCGAGAUGAGCGCCGCGACGUUUCUCAGGAACUCCUCGUCUAAUGGGGCAAGGGGCUCCCACUUUUGUCCCGACGUCAGCAGCGGCUUCUGAGGUCGCCGCCUCACGACCUUCAUUUUCUUCUUCUUCAUCGUCAUCCUCCUCUUCUCCCCUCUUGCGGGCGUCGGCGACUUCGCCCCCGCCUCCGUGUUCUCACACGAUGAACUCGCCAUGAUUCUUCUCCCGUCCUUCUUCCGCUGAGAAGAUUGGUCUGCUCUGCUGGUUUCGCAGACUUGCGUGCUCGCCGGCACCGGUAUAAAUACAGCAAAAAUAAGAGAUCGAUGAUUCAUUUCUUGGCUAGGGGAGCAGUUCGUUGUAUCCGACUCGUAUUCAGUCCACGGUUCCGGUUCCUACUCCCGCAUGGUCGACGCAUCGGUUGGGAUCCUAAUUGGGACGGCCCAAUGGUAGGUUAUUUUAUAGUAUUUUUAUGUAUAUUGUCUAUAAGGACGUUACUGCAUCAAAAAGAAAAGUAUAAUGGCUCUGCAUCUAGUCUAGUUGCUGAAGCGUGUGCGUCGAACAGCUUCCCCAUCGCUUAGUGACAGUUCAUGAAAUCGUGUGCGAUGACCAUUUCUAUGGAUUUUUUUUGCAUGAUAAUAUGUGUCUCAUUUAUAUCAUAAUGAAAAUAAUACAAGACCAUUGUUGUGGAUUAUAACAACACAUAUACACAGCCAAAUACAAACCCUACGGUCUUGGUCACAAUAUAGUGGUACAGGUGUCCAUUAGGACAUAUGUCCGUGUGUUGCAACGGAAAAAAAAUUAAUUUGUAUUUGCAAGCACAACACGUCAUGCUCCGCUACGAAAGAACGCUAGUUACCACAUGACCAAAACGACCAUCGAUGCAUCACUACAUCCAGAGAGUGUCACCACCUGCAGGGAGGCGCACGUCAAAGCCUUCAACAAACGCGGGGACUAUGUUACUCCCUUUGUCAGACAUUAUUAGGCUGGUGGACCACUUAGCCUCAGCCGGACAUUAAUCAUGAAGUGAGCCUUAGCGCAGAUGGUAAAGAUAUCUUCAACGUGACGAUGUGGCGUUGUGGCUCCCUGGCCCAGAUCUUCCCACCAAUGAAUAGUAAAAUCGACAAAAAAUAGAAAAAAUGAUUUUUUUUUUUGGAGUGCAAGAUGUUCCUUUGGGUGAUGUCAAAAACUGCUUGGAGCUGAUUUUUAUUUUUUUUUGCCAGACGCUCCUCGAAUGUCCAAAUACCUCGAAAUUUUGCAGACAUUUUAGCAUCUUAUGAGCCAAAAAGGAUUCAGAUUUUUUUGAUAUUGUGCUUUUCACCGGAUGCAGAUGAGCCGGGGACCAUUUUGAUUAUUAUUAUGGCUAAUCUAGUUUAAAUGUGUCAUUGUUCAUGUAGCCCACAAUCAUUUUUUCUUUUAUUGUUUGAACACACCACGUCCUUCAUUUCUUUUAAAGGUUUCCUUGCAUGUCUGCUCGUCGUGCAGUUCAUUCCUUUUAAUUGUCAUUCCUUUUAAUUGUCCGCUUUUAGCAUCCAUUUUUAACUGUCUUGCUGAUAUUCCAAGCAAACCGCAAGGUAUAUAAACCGGUAGGGAUCUAUCUAAAGAGGCAAGGUGGGUUUAUUUAACAUAAAAUAUUGAUGUCGAGUUAUUUUUAAAAAAACAGCCUCAACUUUAUUAAUUAGAGAUAAUUGUUACAUCGUCUAUUAAAAAAGAUACAAUAUUUUCCAAAGGCUCCUCAAUCCACUCACUCGUAUCAGAACUCUUUGCUAAUCUAGCAAGCUCAUGUGCUACUUCGUUCGCUUCUAGUAAAAAAAAUUCAGAAGCCAUAGAAAAACAAUCCUCAAAGGUUGCAGCCGCCGCUCCCGCAUAGUACCCUCCCUUGUUCAUUGUUUCAAUUACUUCCGAGAAUAUUGAUGUAGAGUUGGUUAGUGCAGUUGCCUUACCCUGGACAUGGAGUAUUGAGUUUAAUCUUCCAUAAAUACAUAUUUUUGUACACGUUGUUCGUGGCCCAUGGCAGACGGCCCAAUAUUGUAGCGAAGCCCAGCAGUGCAGCAACCUGACAUGGUACGAUAGAUGGUGAGGUGUAUGCGUGCUAGCAACGUAAGAAAACGGCCAGGGAGAGGCAAUGUAUGUACAAUAUUUUUAACCAUGGAUUCAAGCUCGUAAAAUUUUGAGACUUUUCCAUAAAACUGUAUGACAGACUAAGAAUACAUAUUUUCUUAAUUAGUAGGUAUAGAUGCGGCAAGUGGAUUGUUUCCUGGUUUUGGGAAGUUUCCAUAAGCUUUUCAGACGGUUUUUCAUUUUUUCUAUUUUGGGGUUUUCCUGUACCAAUCUUGUCUAUUUUUUAUUUUCUACUUAUUUUCAUUUUGCUUUAUUGCAUAUUCUUUUACUUUUUUUCAUUUUCCUUUUUCUAUUUAAUUUUGGCAAAACACGAAUUGUUUCAAUUUUAUGAUACUUUUUUUAAUUGAGGAACUCCUUUUCGAACUCGUUUUUUCAAGUUCAUCAUUAUUAUUUUUUAAAAUUAUCACCUUUUUAAAAAAUAUAUGAACUAUUUUUAAUGUUUGUGAACGCUGUCUCAAAAUUGAUGAACUUUUUUCCUAAAUGCUGAAGUUUAUUUUAAAACUGAUGAACUUAUUUUAAUAUUUGAUGAUCUAAUUUUAAAACCGGAGAAUGUUUUUGCAAAAUAGACGAACUGUUUUUCUAGCAUAUGUACCUUUUGAAAAUUCAUGAACUUUUUUUCAAUUUUUGGGCUUUUUUUAAAAGUUGAUGAGCUUUAUUCAAAAUCGUGAAAUAUUUUCCAUCUAUGUGCAACCUCUUUUUUCAAAAUCAUGAACAUUUUCGAAUUGAUGAACUAUUAACAGAGAUUAUACGCAUGACCUUUUUUGAAUUCGCAAACUUUUUGUUGAAAUAUCUGCAUUCUAUUUGAUUUUCUGAUUAUUAUUUUCAAGCUAGCGAGCGUGCUCGUGGGCUCACCCAUGCUAGCAAUGGUGCGAGCUGGCACUGGCGCAAAACGCGUCAAUUAGGAAGAGCAACUAAUUAAGGAGUACUCGUCCGAGAGCCUCUCGAAGGGUCCAUUGCCACGUGUCGUACUCUUGGUGUUUCCUUUGGAUUUUUUUCUAUACAUAUUUAUGUCUGGAAUUUUGGCUUUAAGAUGAUUUUGUUUUCCGGGUUUUUUUGGCUUUUCCGUUUACCCCCGAUUUUUCUUACAAUUUAGACCCAAAAAUAAGAUUUUAAAGAAAAAUCACAAAAAAAUGCAUUUUCUCUUUCUUUUUUCCUACCCUGAGAGACAUGGAUUUGCUUCUCUUAGAGGCACAUGUGCCUCCUGAAAAAGCAAAAAAAAUGUUUUUUCCUUCCGCGAGGCAAGGUCGUGCCUCUCAGAAAAGAAAAAAGAUCCAUUUUUCCUUUCACGGAAGUACGGAUUUGCUUCCCUGAAAGGCCUAGUCGUGCAUCUUGAAAAAGGAAAAAUGCAUGUUCUCAUGAAGGAAAACAACGUGGUUUUAGUUUGGUUUUUUUGUUUGAUUUUUUCGUGAAAAAAAGUCCAACGAAACAUAUCAACAUGUGGUCUAGUUUUUAAGAUCUCGACGCAUGGAAUCUAACGGCAAAACCAGUUCUAGAUUUGGACGUAGGUUUUGAGAGAUAAAAUGUUUUGAAUAAACAAAUCUGCGAAAAAGGAAAAACCCUUAGGUUGCUACAAGUGACGCACAUGCAGUUGAAGACUUGUCGCACCCUGGGUUGGGGGAGUGAUCUUUGCCAAGAGUAGUUUUCAAUUAGUGAUUUCGCUAAUUAGAAGCUCGCAUCAUCUCCGAUGCGAGCACUAGUGGAUCAGCCCAUGUGCGCUCAUAUGGGUUUUUUGGAGCGGCUUUUGGAAGCUUCUAUGGAGCUGUUUAGACAAAUUUGAAAACCUUUCAUUCAUUUUUUAUGUGUUCACUAUAUAGAUUUACAUGGACUAAAGUAAAAUGUAGAUUUACAUUAUUUUUUCCCUUAGUUUUCUUUGUGUGUUUUUAUUCAUUUUUUGAAUACACAUGGAAUUUUUGGAAAUACAGUUCGAAUAUUUUUUGUUUACAUGUUAUUUCUUUUAUACACGUUGAUGAUUUUUGUAGACACAUUUAAGUGUUUUCCAAAAUAAACAGUAUUGAUUUGUCAAAUGAACAUUGGAUUUCUUAUGAAUAUAAGGUGAACAUUUAUGAAACACCCAUUGAACAUUUAGAAAAAUUCCAUGAACAUUUUUUUCUUAAAGCAUGCAAAACAGUUCUUAAUGUUAGAACAUAUUUUUUAAUGUCAAAGACAUUUUUGUUGAAUGGUACAAAAUAUUAUUUAAAAUUACAAGACCAUUUUUACAUACUAGAAACAGUUGUGGAAAAUGUUAUGACCAUAUUUUUGAAACGGCUGAAUAUUGUUUAAAUUUCAUAAAUAUAUUUAGAAUGGUAUGUCAAAAGUUUAAAAAUAUGUGAAUAUUGUUUCUACAUUGUAUAAAAAAUUUAAAAACUGUCAUGAACAUAUUUCUGAACACAUGAACUAAAUGUCAGGAACAUUUUUCGAAUGGUACAAACAUUUUUAAAAUUGUGGAGACAAUUUAUUACACUACAUGAACAUUUAUUUGAAACACGCAAUGAACAAGGGGUAAGGGACACGUGUCAUGUGCUUUGCUAGCGCAUCGUGGUUGCUGAGUGUCUCAUUCCUUUGUUGUUGAGUUUUGUUUUAGUGCGGAGUGUUUUUACAGUAUACUCGAGAAAGAUCCUACGUUACGAAGGAUGUGUUUGGUAGGCGUUUCUAGCGGGACUGGCUCGUGGACAUUGGCUCAACAAAGUUUGGUUGAGAUAAAACGAUCAUAAAACUAACAUCUGCAUUUAGUUUGGUUGCCGGCAUACAUUCUAAACUGAAUGGGGUGUCAUGAAAGACAUACUAUUUGGUUGUCUGUUUGUGUAUGCGCAAACACAAGGCCUACUAUUUGGCUGCAUGCAACACUUGUUGUGAGAUAACCUCUUCGAUGCGGUGGUGAGGUUACCAUCACAUAGCGGCGUCAGGAAGAACACACAACAUAACAUAGUAGUAAGCAGUUAUAAAUAUUGUGUCACAUUUAAAUAGAUUAGUUUAAAUGCAAAGCAGUUCAAUAUUAAACUAAAGCAACUAGAGCAUAUGAGCGGUUGUCCUAGACGUUCACAACGAAGGCAUCGUCAUGUCUCCCGCACCAGGCCACCACUUUACUGCCAUCGUCAUUGAAGACGAUGACCUUCACCAUGUCGGGAGUCAUCAACUGUGACCAUGAAGCCUAUCUUGAUUUGUUGGACGGCGACGAAGGUGGCCCAAACCUGGUCGAGGGUGACCCUUUCGUUCAACAGACGGACAAUGACCCUCCUAGAGCACUCGGUGUUCGCCUUCAAAUUGAACUCCUGUGGCAUAGACGGGAAGUGCUUCAUGAAGUCGAGUGGCAUAGGUAUGGCCUCGAGUGGCAUGAUUACCUUGCAGAAGUUAUUUGGCUCACCCAUCUCAUGGUAGUGGUCGUAGUUCUGACGCUUGUCGCUGGGGGGCUCCUCCGCGUAUCGUUGUCCGUGACCGGGCUCUGGACAGGCGCCACCUUUGAGGGCGGCACAACAUCCUUGCACUUGUAUUGCUCCUUUGGUGGCACCACCUCAUUGCCCUUGUUCUCCGUGUCGAUUUGCAGUGUGAAGAGGUUCAAACGAUUGGGUCAGGAUUUGCAAUAUGAACAUUGCAUCAUUGUCAUUAACUUAUUGUCGAGAACCCCAUUAUUUACCUAGGCUGAUGGUUACCACUUACCCACCACCUAGUUGUUUGUCUCUCUUCCUCCAACCCAAUGCCAUGAACUCUAAGAACAAGUCUAACCCCAUCCGCAACCCCUUUCCUUGGGGCAUUGGAUGGAGGGCCUUCUUCCUAGGGUGCUCGCUCGAUGACCGCACCAAGUUUGAGAACACCAUGAAAGUGUGUUCAAACUUCAACAGCUUGGAGGAGCAGUACAAAGAGUAGGACGCUAUGGUGAAGAAGGCGAGUCGGAGGAGUUGAAGACGCUGAUCAGUGACCCAAUGAAGGGUUCUAUGUGAGCCGACAUACUUCAUUGAGCCAUGAAUCAAGCCGUCCCCGGCGACGCUGGACAGAGGGAAAACUGAGCCAAGUACAGACAGCAUCGGUGUUCUUAUGACCACGGGGCCGCAACGUACUUCACCACAAAGAUUAUGGUGGUGCCGGUGGAGGAGCAUCAAGAAGUGCUGGCUAUGGAGGUGGAAGAGGAAGAUGCAGUGGCGACGAUUGUGAGGGCGCUGGAGCUAGGACACCUAAGCAUGCCAAUCAAGUUGGACUCCGGCGAGGAAGAAGAUAUGGUGGUGUAGGUCGAGGAGAAGACCAAGGCCAAGGCUACCCACCGCUCCAAUCGCCUCCAGGGUCCUGUGUACUAUGUAAGAUGAACCCUAAUCCCCAUUCCGAUUGUACUCAAUCCUGAUUGGGAACCUCAUAUCUACCCGUAGUCAUGACGAUGUUAUGACCACUCCUAUGGUGUUUACCCCGAUUCCCCAUUCUCCUAACAUGGAUCGAACCUAAACUCGGAUCAAAUGCAAAGUAGUACAUGAGGAGGGGGGAAAGUGCUUACCGCCAUUGCCGAAGUGCUGCUGUGGAUGCCGGUGAAGAGGCCGGAGUCGAUUUGCUGUUCCUCGAUCUGAUGCACGCCAUCGCCGCCGUCGGUGAGAGUAGGGAGAGUGGAAAGAGAGCGGUGAGAAAAGGUAAGGGUAAUGACUGUCGACGCUUCGGGAAACAACGCGGCUUCUCAAGGGUGGCUCCCCUUGUGCAACCCCUGCCGCCCACGUGCAUCGCAGAGGCCUGGCUCGCGAGAAACUACCAAUUCGAACGUGCCUCGCGAGACAUACCCAGACAUGCUUUAAAGUUCGUGACAUGCAGGCCCAACAAUGUAUGUUGACAACCAAUCAGUUUGUUUUCUUUCCACGGGCCUGGUUGGACCUUAUGCGGGCAACCAAACGCAUCCCCAAGUGUUGUUUAUUUGUCGGAAUUUUCUAAGGUACUGGGCAAACGACAUGUGUACUGAGUGCCCAUGAAAUUACACCAGGCAAACUGUAAAAUACUCAGCGUAAUUUUUUUCCUGUAGUUGUACAAUUGGCUGCGCUGCAGUUCCAAAUUUGAUAAAGUUACAAGGUUGGUGUACCAGAAAUUCAUUAUCUACCAAUCAUCAAUAUGUAUGCACAAAACAGUUGCCUGUCUGGGCCUUUGUAUCAACGUCCAUCCAUGUGUAACACGUUCAGCGGAACCGUCUACCAAACGUCUGACAGACACAGACACGUGCAUAUCCUCCAAACCGGGCAGGCUGGUUGCUUGCGCCCUCGUCGCUUUCUUGUCGAACUGGCUCCAUAUAUAGACUAAUGCACACCACAGUUCAAUUUCCAUUUUCGUUUCAGUCAUCGUACAUAUGACUGCAUUAUUCAGCUAACGUUUAAGCAUAGGGAUUUUUAUUUUCAUGUCCCGUCUUUCUUAGUUAUGAUUAGUUUUGCCCCGUUCAUUUAACAUUGCUCACUUUUUUCCCUUCUUUACUCAUCUACGCCUCGUAAAAGAUCAAACGGUGUGUUGACAUUGGGUUAGACCAGGGGCGGUCCUCAGAUUUUGGGGGCCCGGGGCUGGAUUAAAAGCCGGGGCCCUUAAUAUAGACAUAAUAACAAUAACACUGAAUAUACGUACCGGUGAAAUAUAAACACUUAAAUACGUCUAAUACUAAUAUGCAUAUCAAAUGUUUUAAAAAUAUUACCUCAAACAAUAAUUCUGACAUACCUUGAUGCAAAGGCCAUUAUGAUGGCGUCGAUGUUAAUAGCGUCCAAUAAUUUCUUCUCGAUGACAUAAUGUCACCAGACCAUAUAAACACUCUUGGUUCAUCGGUGACCUCACAUAGUUCUUCAAUCAAUAUUUCCAACUUCAGAGAGCUUCUUCCGACCAAUACGAUAGUCACAGGCAUAGUAAAUAGGAUGCAAUAAGCAAUGGAAAUAUCAGGAUAACAGCCAACUUCUAUUGACAUGCUGCAAAUCUCCAUUGCAGAUAUUACAGUCAUAUGGCAGAAUGAAUCCCACAAUUUUUAAUUUAGAAGUAAGAUCAUACUCCCUCCGUUCCUAAAUAUAAGACCUUUUAAAGAUUGCACUAUAAACUAUAUAGGAUGUACAUAGACAUAUUUUAGAAUAUAGAUUCACUCAUUUUGCUCCGUAUGUAGUCUCCUAGUUGAAUCCCUAAAAGGUCUUAUAUUUUAAAACGGAGGGAGUAUAUCUCAACAUCAUGAUACACAAUGCUGACAAAUAACAUUAAUUGUUGAACAAUAUCGAUGUACCGGCGAUGCAUCUACAGAAGCACAAUAAGAAUAUAUGAUAUACGUACCUCGGAUGGCUGAAUCAGCCAUGACGGAAAAUCAAAGCCGGAUUAUAGGACGCCCCGACGAAUUGAAAUCGACGGCGCGCAGCUGAUGAUCUAAAUUAGGAAAGAAAUUAGGUUUGGGAGAAAAGUAGAAAGGAGGGUCGAGCACGCAGUGGCGAACAGACGAUGCGUCGGCGGCCGCUAGGAAUCGCUGCGUCAAUGCGAGAUGGAAUAGGAAGGGAUCAAUCACUCCUAUUUUUUCGUGAAAAAACGGAAGGAACGGUUGCUGCCUUUGUGCCUCGCUGGACUGCUGGGUGCAUGUUUGCCUGCAUGCUACGUGAGGCCCAGUCAACCAACCCGAUAGGUCAUUUUUUUCUGAUCUGUAAAAACAUUAAAUAUGUUUGGACAAAGCCUAUGUACAUACGUGGGGAGGGCCCCCUAAACUUUGGGGGCCGGGGCGGCCGCCCCCCCCUGCCCCUCCCCUCGGCCGGCCCUGCGGUUAGACUACCAACAAUGAAAGUAACAUAGGUGGUAACAUAGAUAUCAUCUAAACAACAAAUGUGAUGUGGCAACUAAUUAAAGAAAAGUAAGAGAAAUUGAAUAACUUAGCAUGUUACUCAUAUUAGGAGUAACAUAGCGGAUACCAAGGCAAGAUGGGUGUAUAGGCUAAUAAAUAAAAGACUCAAUGUUACUACCCCUAUGUUACUAUCCACUAUGGAGGUAGUAACUUAGAUUAGUAACAUAUGUAUGUUACUCCCCAUUGGUCUUUCAGCGGCGUUCAGAGACUCCUUCAUAUUAUUAGACAUAAUUAUGUCUAGAGACACAACACACGAGGCUAUACGUAAAUCACCCUUAGAAUACCAGCGAGCUCUCGUUUAACCUACGGACCCGAUGGGCCAUGUUAAGACUGGUAUGAAUACCAGCAAGCUCGCUGACAAGGAUCCGACGACUCCAUUACCCCUCGCAUCGCUUAGAGAAAAAACCCGAUACAAGUCACCCCCUUGACUUGAUCUGGAAUUAUCUGCGAGAUGCCAUCUAUGCUCUCAUCUAUCAACAAUUUCAACACAUGUUCUGCCGGAGUUUUGGUGCUUGGAAACCAUGAGCAAACCGCUUGUCACUUCUCCCGUGAGAGAGCGUCACCGGCACAGAACACCUCCAAUGGUUUCGUGAUUGCCGAUGGCGGCUGCAGGAUUGGGGGAGGUAGGCUGCUCGGGCUGCGGGGGAUGCGAAUUGAGAGAGAGAGAGAGAGAGAGAGGGAGGGAGAGGGAGAGGAAGAGAGAGAGAGAGAGAUUUCGUCCCCCUUUUUAGGACAAAUGACCCAACCAUCCACUAGCCGGUCCCACAUGUCAGCAUUUCAUGUCAGUCCCAUGCGUCCACGCGUCAACACCGGACGAAGUAACGGUCAACAGUUUUGACCCGACGGUGAGGCAUUGUUUGGCCUUUUGCGAGACGGAGGCGAGUAGAGGAGGGAGAAAAGUGAGUAAUGUUAGACGGACGAGGCAAACUGAGCACAACUAAGUAACGAUGGACGAGGCAACUUACGUAAAACCAGCUACAAUUAUAAUAGCUUUCGAUGUACACCCGUGUGAUCACCAGCCAUCUAACAACCUUUGCCGACAGUUGUCCUUCAUCCACAAAGACAACAUCAUCCAAAUAAUUCACUUGCAAUCCAGGUUUCUCUAUCAUCUCUUUGGACAUUGUGAUAUUUACUAAUUCCCGAUCCAGAGGUCUCAUACGCCAUGGCGAUGUCAUGACCAGUCUAGGAGAAGAAGCACCUCGUAAACUAGAGCGGAACAGAACCUGGGUUUUCUAGGCAUGGCCUCUCGAUAAGAAGUUGAGAAGAUUAUGGCUGAUACAUGGUGAGAUAGGAUGAGGUGUCUACGCUGCCAUACGACAAAACCCUAGUAACAGGGGAUGCUUUAUCUGUGUUAUUUUUUAAUUAAAUCACAUGAAUAAUUGGCCGUGUGUAUGUAAUUCUAUAUUAAUAUAAUAGGACACAAAGAGGCAGGUCCAUAUCAUCUCGGCCAACAAAUCUAAGAUUUGAUGGUUCAUGUUGAGCACCAAGAGACGAAAACCGCUCGCGUCGCCUCCAGGGGGCGACACGGGCGCCCUAGCCGCCGUCGCCCUCGACCUCCCUCCUCCCCCGCUUCCCCGCCGUUGCCGGAGGAGGCCGGCGAGCGAAGCUCGCCCGGCGGACGACGGACGGCGGGCCUUCCUCCCUUCUUCACGAGGGGGUCCUUUGGCUGAGAUGCGACGGCGCCCCUGGGGGUACAACAUGGAGGCGGAGUUGGCGUGCUCGGGCGGCGUGGGAUCCCGGCGGCGCUGCGGGGGCUGGCGGCGGCGGAUCUGGGGUUCCCCACCCCAGAUCGGUUCUCCUCCGGGUGGUCGGGCUCAGGCGCCGUCCAGCGGCCCUAAGCGGUGGUGGACGCGCGCGUUGACUGUCCUCCUUCACAGAUGUGAUUGGAAACGACAGGAGGUGUUGGCGUGCUGCUAGAUCUGAACAAGGUGAUGGCGUCAUCCCCUUCAUCAGGGAUGACGACCAGGUGGUGGGUUCUUGUGGCGUCGCCGGUGGCGGCGGAUCUUGGGAUCCAGUUCCCGGGGACGUCGUGGGAUGUGGUGGCCCGUGCAGGAGAGAUGGGUUCUUCGAACAGAUCUGGGUCAAAGCUUGCUUUCGGCUAUUGCUAAGGUCGGCGAUGGCGGCGCUGUCUACAUCGUUCCCUUCCUGAAGGCAUCGCCGAGGAGAACUUCAGGGCCACUCUCUGCUACCUCCUGGGGUAACCCUAGAUCAGUAGAUCGGAUGACGGCGACGCUCUGGUGUCAUUUCCCCCUUGGGGGCGUCAUUCAUGGUGGUACACACGGGCUCGAGGGACCAUUGGUCGGCAUUUACGAUGGAGCAGCGUUCCUAGUGACACAUCGACGUUGUGGAGUCUCGGCGGCGAGGCGCGGCAAAGUCUCGGCAAUGAAUGCAUGAUGAUGAGCACGCGUAGGGAGGAGGCGUUGUCUGGCGCCGUGGGGGCAUCGAUGGCAGGCCUUGCAAGGUCGAUGCGUCAGUAAUUUUUCUGAAGAUGGAUUGAUGGAAGGCGGCGACGACGACCUAUGAGGGUGCGUCGGACCGUUUGUGCCCCUGACCCGGUAUGUGGCUCUGUCGGGGCCUCCGGCUUUAGAUGUUAGGCUAGGUGAGAGGUCUGGGUAUGUGGCUCACACUUUCUGCACCCCCUUCAUCAUUGUAUAUGAGUAGCGACAGAUGUUGCCAAGAGGACGGCUUCAGACAUACGCUUAACACUCUAGCUAAUUGACCACCAGUAGCACGGGAGAGGUGUUUUGGCUCCCGGGUAUAUGCACUCGGAUGAACAGUACUGCGAAAAAAGUUCUAAUUUUUUUUGUAGAUGAUUGUAUUAGUGUCGCAAAUAUGCAUGACAAUUUUCGUGCGAUAAGGAGCAACGGUGUUUCAUCAGCAAAAAAGACAAAUUUAGGAUGACAUUUUGGGGUAACUUUUGGUGUUCAAUUUGUUUUUCUUGCACAAACCAAAAUGUUUUAUCUUUUUGUCUCAAAAUUUACAAGUAGUAUUUGGAUGUGACAAAGCAUACAAACAAAUUUUGUCUCAUUUUUUUCCAUUUCAAACUUUUUUUUGGCCCCGAAAGCAUAUGCCGGGAGCCGAAUUGCAUUUCCGCCGGUAGCACUAGUUACAUACACACUAGACUCCGCGCAAUCCCAUGAAAUCUGUUUGGCGAUUAACAUACGGCUAAAUAUCAACAUGCAAAUAUUAUCUUACCAAAUGUACCAAAUGUGUAACUAGUAUCUUAAUUCUACUCCCUUCAUAAACUAAUAUAAAAACAUUUAAAAACAAUGCUUUAGUAAUCUAAACGCUUUUAUUUAAUUUACAAAAGGAGUGCUACCUAAUAUCAACAUGCAUUGCACCAACUCCCUUCAAGGUCUAAUGCGUUUUUAGGGUUGCCCUUGACUAUUGAUAAGAUUAAUAAUAUAUGAGAUCUAUGAUAAAGAGUCUUUUCACAUCCGAAUUUGACAAUAUACCUGUAACAUGCAAGUUAUAUAUAUAUAAUUGCUCUAACCCGUGGCCAAAGGAAAUCUUGCAAAAUGUAUCGGAUGAAGGGAGAACAUGAUAAUACCAGUCUAACAAAUAUAUCCUCUCCAAUCGCAAACAUUUAUCCCCUUGGAUCACAACCAUGCAUACCCCUUUUGAGUACUCCCUCCGUCCCAAAAUUAAUGUCGAGCAUGUAGUUCAUUGGGAAUUUUGCAAAAAAAAACCUCGUAUUUACAAAAUCGUCUCAAACAAGCACCUCCACCCCUAUCUUCUUCGUCCGUCCUCGCCCGUGCAUCGCGAGAGGCCGCGCCGUCGAACUGGAAGGGCUCCGCCGCCGUCGCCGCCAAUUACCUCCUCCAUCACCACAACCCAGAUCUGCGCCACCGGAUCUCUUCCCGCUGCAGUUACCUGUCGGCGUCGUUCUCGAGCUCCUGCCGGCGUCGGAACCUUCCGCCACUUCGUCCUCUGGCUCCCAUGCGUCAUCCUCGAGCUCCCGUGCAUCCUCCCCAAGCUCACGCGCAUCCUCGCUGGAAUCUCUACUGCUCCUUCUCCCUUGCAGCCGGUGUGCCUGCUUAUCCCCUGUCACCGGAGGAGCUCCUCUGCACGUACUUGUUGGAAUUAUGCCCUANNNNNNNNNNNNNNNNNNNNNNNNNNNNNNNNNNNNNNNNNNNNNNNNNNNNNNNNNNNNNNNNNNNNNNNNNNNNNNNNNNNNNNNNNNNNNNNNNNNNNNNNNNNNNNNNNNNNNNNNNNNNNNNNNNNNNNNNNNNNNNNNNNNNNNNNNNNNNNNNNNNNNNNNNNNNNNNNNNNNNNNNNNNNNNNNNNNNNNNNNNNNNNNNNNNNNNNNNNNNNNNNNNNNNNNNNNNNNNNNNNNNNNNNNNNNNNNNNNNNNNNNNNNNNNNNNNNNNNNNNNNNNNNNNNNNNNNNNNNNNNNNNNNNNNNNNNNNNNNNNNNNNNNNNNNNNNNNNNNNNNNNNNNNNNNNNNNNNNNNNNNNNNNNNNNNNNNNNNNNNNNNNNNNNNNNNNNNNNNNNNNNNNNNNNNNNNNNNNNNNNNNNNNNNNNNNNNNNNNNNNNNNNNNNNNNNNNNNNNNNNNNNNNNNNNNNNNNNNNNNNNNNNNNNNNNNNNNNNNNNNNNNNNNNNNNNNNNNNNNNNNNNNNNNNNNNNNNNNNNNNNNNNNNNNNNNNNNNNNNNNNNNNNNNNNNNNNNNNNNNNNNNNNNNNNNNNNNNNNNNNNNNNNNNNNNNNNNNNNNNNNNNNNNNNNNNNNNNNNNNNNNNNNNNNNNNNNNNNNNNNNNNNNNNNNNNNNNNNNNNNNNNNNNNNNNNNNNNNNNNNNNNNNNNNNNNNNNNNNNNNNNNNNNNNNNNNNNNNNNNNNNNNNNNNNNNNNNNNNNNNNNNNNNNNNNNNNNNNNNNNNNNNNNNNNNNNNNNNNNNNNNNNNNNNNNNNNNNNNNNNNNNNNNNNNNNNNNNNNNNNNNNNNNNNNNNNNNNNNNNNNNNNNNNNNNNNNNNNNNNNNNNNNNNNNNNNNNNNNNNNNNNNNNNNNNNNNNNNNNNNNNNNNNNNNNNNNNNNNNNNNNNNNNNNNNNNNNNNNNNNNNNNNNNNNNNNNNNNNNNNNNNNNNNNNNNNNNNNNNNNNNNNNNNNNNNNNNNNNNNNNNNNNNNNNNNNNNNNNNNNNNNNNNNNNNNNNNNNNNNNNNNNNNNNNNNNNNNNNNNNNNNNNNNNNNNNNNNNNNNNNNNNNNNNNNNNNNNNNNNNNNNNNNNNNNNNNNNNNNNNNNNNNNNNNNNNNNNNNNNNNNNNNNNNNNNNNNNNNNNNNNNNNNNNNNNNNNNNNNNNNNNNNNNNNNNNNNNNNNNNNNNNNNNNNNNNNNUGUUGGAAUUAUGCCCUAGAGGCAAUAAUAAAUGUGGUUAUUAUUAUAAUUCCUGUAUCAAGAUAAUAGUUUAUUAUCCAUGCUAUAAUUGUAUUGAAUGAAGACUCAUUUACAUGUGUGGAUACAUAGACAAAACACCGUCCCUAGCAUGCCUCUAGUUGGCUAGCCAGUUGGUCAAUGAUAGUCAGUGUCUUCUGAUUAUGAACAAGGUGUUGUUGCUUGAUAACUGGAUCACGUCAUUGGGAGAAUCACGUGAUGGACUAGACCCAAACUAAUAGACGUAGCAUGUUGAUCGUGUCAUUUUGUUGCUACUAUUUUCUGCGUGUCAAGUAUUUAUUCCUAUGACCAUGAGAUCAUAUAACUCACUGACACCGGAGGAAUGCUUUGUGUGUAUCAAACGUCGCAACGUAACUGGGUGACUAUAAAGAUGCUCUACAGGUAUCUCCGAAGGUGUUAGUUGAGUUAGUAUGGAUCAAGACUGGGAUUUGUCACUCCGUGUGACGGAGAGGUAUCUCGGGGCCCACUCGGUAAUACAACAUCACACACAAGCCUUGCAAGCAAUGUAACUUAGUGUAAGUUGCGGGAUCUUGUAUUACGGAACGAGUAAAGAGACUUGCCGGUAAACGAGAUUGAAAUAGGUAUGCGGAUGCUGACGAUCGAAUCUCGGGCAAGUAACAUACCGAAGGACAAAGGGAAUGACAUACGGGAUUAUACGAAUCCUUGGCACUGAGGUUCAAACGAUAAGAUCUUCGUAGAAUAUGUAGGAUCCAAUAUGGGCAUCCAGGUCCCGCUAUUGGAUAUUGACCGAGGAGUCUCUCACGUCAUGUCUACAUAGUUCUCGAACCCGCAGGGUCUGCACACUUAAGGUUCGACGUUGUUUUAUGCAUAUUUGAGUUAUAUGGUUGGUUACCGAAUGUUGUUCGGAGUCUCGGAUGAGAUCACGGACGUCACGAGGGUUUCCGGAAUGGUCCGGAAACGAAGAUUGAUAUAUAGGAUGACCUCAUUUGAUUACCGGAAGGUUUUCGGAGUUACUGGGAAUGUACCGGGAAUGACGAAUGGGUUCCGGGAGUUCACCGGGGGGGGCAACCCACCCCGGGGAAGCCCAUAGGCGUUGGGGGAGGCACACCAGCCCUUAGUGGGCUGGUGGGACAGCCCACAAGUGCUCUAUGCGCCAAGAGAAGAAAAAUCAAGAGGAAAAGGGAAAAAAAAGGAGGAGGUGGGAAAGGAGGAGGACUCCCUCCCACCAAACCUAGUCCAACUCGGUUUGGGGGGGGGAGAGUCCUCCCCCUUGGCUCGGCCGACCCCCUUGAGGGUCCUUGGACCCCAAGGCAAGGCCCCCUCCCUCCCACCUAUAUAUACGGAGGUUUUAGGGCUGAUUUGAGACGACUUUUCCACGGCAGCCCGACCACAUACCUCCACGGUUUUUCCUCUAGAUCGCGUUUCUGCGGAGCUCGGGCGGAGCCCUACUGAGACAAGGUCAUCAUCAACCUCCGGAGCACCGUCACGCUGCCGGAGAACUCUUCUACCUCUCUGUCUCUCUUGCUGGAUCAAGAAGGCCGAGAUCAUCGUCGAGAUGUACGUGUGCUGAACGCGGAGGUGCCGUCCGUUCGGUACUAGAUCGUGGGACUGAUCGCGGGAUUGUUCGCGGGGCGGAUAGAGGGACGUGAGGACGUUCCAAUACAUCAACCGCGUUCUCUAACGCUUCUGUUGUACGGUCUACAAGGGUACGUAGAUCACUCAUCCCCUCUCGUAGAUGGACAUCACCAUGAUAGGUCUUCGUGCGCGUAGGAAAAUUUUUGUUUCCCAUGCGACGUUCCCCAUCAGUACUGCUGCUGGUCAUCUGCCUGAGUUGUUGCUGCUCCUCUGCUGGAGUUGAUGCUCCUCUGCUCGAUCUACUCUGCCGCUGGUGAAGCUCUGCCCGUGGUACUGCUAUUCCUCUGCCCAUUUGCACCUGAAGAAGGUACUGAUGAAACUGUUUGUUGUUUACUGCUACCUAAAACUGCUGUUGUUUGAGAAACUGCAUUGCUUGAGAAACUUGUAAUGUUGUGGUAUCGAAAAUAAUUUUGUGCAAUACUUGUAAUGUUGUGGUAUCAAAAAUAAUUUUGUGGAGUAUCAGAAACAGAGAAGCCUGGUUCAAGGUUUUGCACUGGAAACAGAGCAGUCUGGUUCAAGGUUGUGCACUGGAAACAGAGCAAUCUGGUUCAAGGUUUUGCCUAGAUAAACCAGACCGGAUGAGAGACCAAAUACAUGGGCAAGUAGUCAAAAGAAACACAUAAUUUGCCUAGAAUCUUGUUGUCCUGUGAUGCAAGAAAAUUUCACCAUGUGUAUGUUGUGGAACGCUUACAGUUGCACAAAUCAGACAUAUCAGUAGGUUGGUUCAGGUGUUGGUUCUUGGCCUAUUAACAUAGAAAGCCCCUUUGUAACUACUAGGACAAUCAGCUUGUGUAAAGAUCAUAUUUAGAGACGAAUUGCAAGCAUUAACCUGAUCUUAACAUAUAUAAAUGGAUAUUAAGUUUUCCAUUUUAGGCGAAUACAGAUAGAGGUUUCAACUAGACCUAGUGAGAAAUGGUUCCAUGGUAGCAUUUCUUGUUUGGCUGUCGUAGCUCGAUUACAUAUUGUUUUUACGUGCGUAUAUAUUCUUGUUACAGUACCAUGGUGUACUCAUCUUUUGUCAUUGAUAGCAGGAGUAUGGAUUUGAACAUGAUACCUCAAGAGGAGGAUGAAGGUAUUAAUUUGAAUUGGAUCCCUCAAGAGGAAGAGGCUCAAGGGGGAGAGGAUGGAGGUAUGGAUUUGAACAUGAUGCCUCAAGAGGAAAAGGAUGAUGGUAUUAAUUUGAAUUGGAUCCCUCAAGACGAAGAGGAUCCAGGGGGAGAGGAUGGAGGUAUGGAUUUGAACAUGAUGCCUCAAGAGGAAGAGGAUGAAGGUAUUAAUUUGAAUUGGAUCCCUCAAGAGGAAGAGGCUCAAGAGGAAGAGGAUGAAGUUAUGAAUUGGAUACUUCAAGAAGAAGAAGAAGGUCAAGAAGGUGUACCAGGUAAACAGAAAAGAAAAGAAUUGUCAAAUAAGGAGAGGCAUGCUGUUUACUUUGCUCUGCUAGUAAUCGAGCUCAGAGAUGGAUCUGUUCAACCAAACGACAAGCUGCUAGUAUCAAUCUUGUUGAACAUACAUGUACGAUCUAUUGAGAGAAUCUGGUCGGAGCCAAAAAGCAGAUUGCCGCGGGCCAAGAAGUAGAUGUCUCCAACAAGAAGAAAGGAAGAGUUGGUCGAAAGAGAAAAGAGCUGGAUCUUGCAAGGACCUCAACAAUCCCAUUGAAUAGAAGAAGGACAAUUCGAUCUCUGGCACGGUCUCUCGGUGUGACCCGCUCAACCCUACAUCGGAGGUUCCAGUUAAAUGAGCUCAACCGCAUCACAAACACAGUCAAGACUUACCUCAAACCAGAGAACAAGAUUGCAAGAUUGAAGUUUUGUAUGUCCAUGCUCGAUGACAAUUGGAUCUCAACUUCCCAAGCUAUAUUCAAGCCAAUGACUAAUAUGGUCCAUAUAGAUGAAAAGUGGUUUGACAUGACAAGACUAAAGAACAACUACUAUGUACUUCCAGGAGAGCCUCCACCUGAGCGCACCGUGACAAACAUUAACAUCAUUGGGAAGGUAAUGUUUCUAACGGUUGUGGCCAGAUCUCGAUACAAUUAUGAUGGAGAGCUAACAUUUGACGGGAAGAUUGGUAUUUGGGCAUUCAUCAAAGAGUCUGAGGCAGUGCGAACGAGUCACAAUAGAGCAAGGGGAACGACAGUGCUGAAACCAGUGAAAGUAACGAGACCUGUGUGUAGAGAAUAUCUGAUCAAUAAGGUUAUACCAGCAAUUCAAGAUAAAUGGCCUGACGAUGAUGAGGGAGCAACAAUAUUCAUCCAACAAGAUAAUGCAAAGCCUCGCGUUCUUCCCAACGAUGAAGCUUUUCGAGAAGCUGUGGAAGAAACUGAUCUCGACAUUAAGUUGAUGCAACAACCUCCAAACAGCCCAGAUUUGAACUGUUUGGACCUCUGCUUCCACAAUUCUCUCCAGUCUCUAACCGAUUGUAGGUCACCUACAAACAUCCAGGAACUGAUACAGGGUGUGGAAGAGGAGUUUGAGAAUUAUGAUCCUCACAAGUUGUACAACAGCUUCAUCACAUUGCAAGCAGUUAUGUUUGAAAUUAUGAAAGAUCAAGGAGGAAACCAAUAUAAGUUGCCCCACUUACACAAGGAACGUCUUCAGAAUGACGGCAGAGAAAUAACAAGUGUAUAUUGUGACAGUCAGCUAGUUGCUGAUACUAGGGCCAUUCUAGAAGAAAUGCAAUAGGAAAAGGAAAGGAAGAAAAGAAGUAGUUGUAGAAAGGAAAAAAAGAAUUGAACUUAUCUGAAUUGUACUCCUUGUGUACUCCUUGUACUCCUUGUGUAUGUCUUGUGCAAUAGGAAAAUGCAAUUGGAAUCAUUUGAGAUCAAUGAUGAUACUGGUUAUCCAACAUUUCCAUCUUGUGUAUCGGAAUUCAUUUUAAUUGUUUGGACUAAUUUGUUUGAGUUUAUCUUGAGUUUAUCCAGCAUUUCCAUCUGUAUUGGAGAUCAAUGAUCUUGUGUAUUGGAAGGGUCAUGUACAUGGGGAUGUUGCCUCAAGUUUUAUUAAAUUUAUUGUUUCAGGUUUCAGUAUACAAAGAUUACUGGGGUAUUGUCUAUAGUUUGGAUAAACCAAAUAAAGUUCACAAAUCUUUAUUCCCUUUGUGCAUAAAGUUUACAAAUCCCAAGCAUAGAGUUGGGAUCAACAAAAAAAUUCUAAGCUUACAAAUCGUGAGUGCUUUCAUCUCAAAAAAAUUCUAAGCUUACAAAUCCAGAACUGGUAGCCUUCCUUAUCUCAAUUCUCUGGUACUGAUUUUUGCUCUCUUUUUUUACCUUCCUUCAACAAGUUGUUCCUUGAACUGCAGGUACUCAGGGACAGUCAACUCCUCGUCGUCUGAAUUCUCAAGUACAGUAGUACUAGUAGCUUGGUUCAGGUUGAUUCUCAAUGAUGCCCUGCACUUGACACUAAAGCCUCCAGCCUGCAGAUAUACAAACGAAAUACAGAUACAUGCAUCAGUCUGAACCUGAAGAAGAAGGAAUGCAACCUGUGAAAUGUGUGAAAUGCUCCUACCAACAGACAAUGGAUGGUUUUUUUGUUUUGAUUGGUCUUGCUCUCGGUUUGAAGAUGAAGUGGUGUUAUUUCGCUUACCGUUGAUGUUCAAGUGUAGGCUUUUGCCUGCCCAGCACCUCUUAACCAUGUCAUCUCCUUGCAGUGCGUCUGGUUCAGGCCGAGCUCCGGGAAGCGGCUGCGCAUCAGCGGCAGCAGCGUGUCCGACGUCCCCAGGUACAUGGACUGGAAGUUGGCCUCCUGUUUCUACACGAGCACCCUGAUGAAGAGGUCUUCGGGGAGAGCUGGGGCGACUUGUUGCCAUCUGGUGAGGACGUCCACGGCGCCCUGGUCGACGGACUUCGUGACGCUGAACAUUGUCACUGUCGGGGGACGGGAACGUGCUUCACCUGCCACGAGAGCACGACGCCGAAGCUCUCGCCGACGCCGUUUCCGACGCAGCCGGAGAAGACGGCGGCGGUAGGUGGAGAAAUCAUUGCUUUUUAUGAGGAAGGGGGAAGCUUGGGGAGGCAGGCGAGUCGCAACUGCGGCGGCGGAGCGGCGGGGGACCGGGGGAGCAGGGGAGUUGCGGCAGGCGGAGCUGCAGCGGGCGAGCGGCAGCUGCGGCGGGGGAGUAGGGCAGCUGCGGCGGCGAGGAGCAGGCAAGCUGUAGCGAGCGUAGAUGGGGCAUCUGUCGGAGGAGGAGGACGAGGAGCGCGGGUUUGGUCGGGAGAAGCUGUAGGGGCUUUUCGCAAAAUUACCGUCGCGACAUUAAUUUCGGGACGGAGGGAGUAGCAUCUAAUCCUUCCAAAUAACACAGAACAUACGUGUUGCACGACCCAAAUGGGGCCCGGUCAAUGACAUCAAUCCCAUAUGUCACUCUCUGCUCCUACUACCUCGCUGUCCAUUACUUCAUGGUAAAUCUGGGGACGAGGAGGACAUGGUCGUCUGUCUGGCUCUUCACCUCCCUCGGGAGCAGUGCACUCGACCACGGUUGGACUCUAACCGGUGGAAAUCCAUGGUGUCCGUUCAAAUGUCGUUUGGAUGCGCAGGGAUGAUUGCUCGAGGCGUGCGGGCGCGGCCUCGACGGACACAGUGAUCGCCGUCCAAUUCUAGUAUGAUGAUGCAACCCCUUUGGUGGUGCCUCAUCCCUACGCCCUCGGGCUCGGAGUCGAAGAUCUGCACCGGCAUGAGUUACGGUCCAUCUUCUAACAUGGAGUGGCAUACCCGUCGUGCAAGGCAAAGGCCGCGUGGCGAGACGUAGAUGCUCUAACCACAUCUAGAUGGGAUCACAUCGAUUUAUGAUAUCCCGACUUCCCGAUCAACGAGUCUCCUCUGAUCAAAACCAUGUUACCCUAAUAUGCAUGUAAAAAAGUUAGGCUAAUAUGCGCGUAAAAAAGUUGAUUAACUGCUGCUAAAAUGGUGUGAUGUGAUAAGCCGGCCCUCCCCAACAAGAAAUAAUAACAACUGCCCCCCUAUCUCUCAUAUCCAAUUUAUAUAUGAGCCGGAUAUAGCGAGGACUGGAUGCGUCCGUCAGGUUGUAUCCGGCUCACGCUGGUUCAUCCCGACCCAUAUAUAUCCGUCUCUAUCUCCAACCUGGACGAAACCCUAGCUACUCCACCCCUCUUCUUAGCUCCGUUCCGAUGAUCUCCAGCCAUCUCCGACAUUACAGGCAGCGUCCGACACGGAGUUGGGAUCUCGCCCCAUGCGGGGAUGAGGAGGACAUGGCCGUCCGGCCGGCACUUCGCCGCCCCCGGAAGGAGUGCGCUCGACCACGGUUGGACUCUAUCCGGCAAAAACCCAUGGUGUCCGUUCAAAUCUCGCUUGGAUCCGCAGGGAUGAUGGCUCGAGGCGUCCGGGCGCGGCCUUGCCGGACGCGGUGACCACCAUAAUAUUCUAACUCCGGGAUGGCGAUGCAACCCCUCCGGUUGCGCAUCAUCCCUAACAUGGAGCGGCGUACGCCGUCGUGCGAGGCAUAGGACGCGGGGGCGAGGUGUAGAUGCUCUAACCGCAUCUGGAUGAGAUCACAUCGAUUGAUGAUGUCCGGAUAAACGAGUCUCCUCAGAUCAAAACCGUGUAAUAAUCCUACAAAAUAAAGACAUCGCCCAACGUGUUCCAGAACGCUCUGAAUGAGACCCCGCGAAUGGCAACAACCAUACCAUUUAUGAGCAAGUUUUGUCAGUCCCCCCACCCGGCCAGCCCGUGACAUCGAUGUAGCAGCUUCCGUUCCUAUUUAACCAGCGUACCAUUUGCACUACAUUGCAUCACAGCAAGCACACACACACACACACUCUCUAGAGAAAUGGCGAUGGCUAGGACGACGGCGCUCCUCCUCGUCGCCGCGGCUCUCCUGGCGGCCUCAUCCAGCGCAUGGGAGGUGAACAUCCAGAUGCCGGCGUCGGCGGCCGUGGACGAUGCUGUGGCACCGCUCAUCCACGCGCUGCGGCCGCUCCUGGGCUCCGGCAAGCAAGCCGGCGUGGCGUGCGAUAGCUGGCGGCUGGGCGUGGAGGCGCACAACGUGCGGGACUGGAAGACGGUGCCCGCCAGCUGCGAGGAUUACGUCGGCCACUACAUGGUCGGCGACCACUACCGCCGGGACUCCAAGGUCGUCAUCGACCAGGCCAUCGCCUACGUCGACUCCCUCAAGCUCGCCGGCAACGGCAAGGAGGUCUGGGUCUUCGACGUCGACGAGACCACCCUCUCCAACCUCCCCUACUACGCCAAGCACGGCUUCGGGUACGU